UCAACGAUCCACACCGUUAAAACUGAUCUAGGGUAUUUAAAGUUUUUAGAAAUAAAAUUUUAUAUUUUUUCGACAUCGUUUACUUUAUGAUCAAAAUAUUUUAAAAUUGUCAAUUUUCAAUGGCUAUUAUGACGAGUUUGGAGUUUAACGGUGUAGAAGAAUCUAAAUUUCUUCAAAUUUUGAUAGAAAAUACUUUAAACUAUAUAGAUUAAGGUUAACAUUCUUGAUCUUGAAUUUAAAAGUUCUAUACUUAAAUUUUAAAGAGUAUUCAAUUCCCACCGUCCAUUUUGACAUAAUUUAUUUACUAAGUAAACGAUAUCGAAAAAAACUAAAAUUUUAUUCCUAAAAACUUCAUAUACCUUAAAUCAUAUUUAACGGUCUCGAUCGUUGAUUUGAAUGCCCUAAGAUCGAAAACAACACUAUAGUAUGGGAGCUCCCGUACUAUAGAUAGUAUAGUAGCCUAAUUCUAUAUAUAUAUAUAUAUAUAUAGUUUUAUUAGAUUUGCGUGACAAGAGCUGUACGGCAAAUGUGAGACCUAUUCAUAUCUUUGUUCAAGAAACAUAGAAACACAUGUCACAAAGUUAAUUAUAUAAAUUUAUAUAAAUAAGUAAGUUGGUUCAUAUAUGUAAUUAAGACAAAUUUCUUGUUUAAUUACACCUCAAAUAUGUCAUUAAAAAACAAACUAGAUCAGUAAAGUAAACGAAGGAAUUAAUCGCCAAUUUAAUUCCUUGAACACAAUCUCUUCUUCAUCAAAUUCUUUUAUUUUCAUUAUUUCUUGAUUAAAUGGAUUCCUCAUUCUUCAAGGUUGAUCACUAAUGUGCAUUUGUUUCCUAUUGGAUCCAGCUUUGUUAGCUAAACUCUUUUUAGUAUACGUUACUUGUGUACACAAAUCUAAGCAUGUAGAACUAAAAUUAAUGCACCUCAUUGUCAACAUUACCAAUCCAUUUCAUAUAUACACUACCGGCUAUUUAAAAGAACUUAGCUAAGAUGUUCUUUGUUCAUUAAUUAAAAGAACUUAACUAAGUUGUUCUUAAUUUGUUCAUUUAAUUUUCAUUUAAUGAGUACUUCUAGAUAUAAAAAACAACGUAUACUUUAAUUUGACUUAUCAUUUUUUAAAAAUAUUUCUGAUCAGUCGUAAGCUUUGCUAAUUUGAUUGGCCAUAAUUUGAUGAAAUGUUGUUUCAGAAGUGCUGUUGGAAGAAAUAAAAUGUAAAAUUUUUCUCUACAACUUUUGUUUUUUUGGCAAAAACAAACCUCCAAAUGGACCAAGCCAAAGCCUCCAUUUUAAAGCCAUAGAAUCAAAUUUCUAUUUUUUAUCACAGCAAAAAAUUUAGAUUUUUUAUAAGACAGAACAAGCAUUAAAUUGGUGUAAUUAAGUAAAAGGUACAAAUGUGGGACAAUUUCCCUCCACAUCUGCUAAGGCCUACUUUGAUACUACAAAUAACUAAAUAUACAUGCUUUCAAAUUUUAGAAUGCUAAGAAAAUAUCAAAACUGCUUACAAUCUUUUUUUUUUUUCUAACACUACAAAAAAUUACAAUGCACUACCAUCAUCGAAGUAUUAUACAAUCGCAACUUUAUAUUGUUGAAAGAGGAAAGAUAAAAAGCACUUUUAGGCCUUGUUUGGAUGCGCAGUAAAAAAAUUUCGUGGAGUUUAAAUAUCAUGAUUUUGCUCUAGCUAGCUAAAAUAGAAAAUUUUGUAAUUGAAAAAAAAUUUAUGAUCACUUUAAUUUUUAAACUGUUUGGAUUCACAUCGUACGAUUUCAUUGGAUUUAUGCAAAUUGAAAUUUGAAAAUUAAAAAUUGAAAAUUAAUUUUAGAUUUUAAAUUUUAGAACUUGCAUGAUACAGCGUUUGGUGUAAGGGAGCUCAAGAAUGAUGGAAUUUUCUUUCUUUGGUUAAAGUGGAUUGUAGUUUACUCUAUUUUUCGAAGUAUUAUUUAACUAUACUUUAAAAAUUAUGUUAUUUUUUUCUCCCAAACAUUUCACAGGAUAAUUUUUCUGCCGGUUUAGUAUAGUUUAACUAUACUAUAUUUUUAGAGGCAUUCAAACAUGGUCUUAAACUUUUUUUUUUUUUCUACCGGUAGAGUAAAGUUUAACUAUACUAUACUUUUAGAGGCAUUCAAACGCGGUCUUAAUCUUCUUUUUUUUUGAGAGAGAGAGAUAGAUAGUAUGCUAUCCGCUUCGUAUAUUUCAUUUAGAAAUAAACUUAGUUAGAAAUGUGAAUCAACUAGAAUUCAAACUUGGGACUUCAGAUACCAACCACUAAGUCCUUUGUCAAUUGCGCUAGGGACGGUCCGUAUGGUCUUAAUCUUAAUAUAUAUUGUCGGCUAGCUACUACAUACUAAAAGUAAAUAAAAUAAAAAGAAAAAAAAAAAAAGAUGAUACAAAAUGACAAUAUAGUAGUGAUGAGAGAUGGGGCCAAGUAAUCAAAUUGUGUGAUCCAACAACUGGGGGAGAUCCAUGAAUAAAACAGCGUUGGGAAUCGAAAAGAGAGGUCAAAGAAAGGAAAGUGGCCUUUCGCUGCGGGCAAACGGCUUGUCGGGGAAGCGGGGGGUGGUGCAGAAAUUGGAAAUAAUUUUAGGGGCUGCAUUUGCAUGCAUUUUUGCAUGGCUACAAUGGCUCGUCCCACCCACCGCGUACGGCCUUCUCUCAAAUUAAUAUUGACCCUUGCAGUGACCGAGAAGGUGCCGACUACUGACCGUCCAUAGCGCAAGUGGCAAAGUUAUACUUGAUGAUUGGUAUCCGAAAUUCCAAGUUCGAAUUCUAAUUGAUUCAUAUUUUUAGCUAAAUUUAUUUCUAAAAAAAAUAAACGAAGCAGAUAGUAUGCUACCUUUCUCUUCCAAAAAAAAGAAAAGAAAAGAAAAGUGCCGACUAAAAGGGACCGGCAGAAGAAUUAUCGAGCAUAUCUCAAAUCCAUACACGCCACACGAGGACAGUGAAAAUAGGAUCGAGAGAGUAAUCCAGCAUAUUUCAAAUCCACACACCACAUGAGCACGGCGAAAAUAAAAUCUUCCGUGAAUGAAAAUAAACGAGAACGAUCGUAGAAAACAAGUACGAUAAUAAUAAAAUAAUAAUACGGUCGAAUACAAAAACACAGAAUUUAUGUGAUUCGGCUAGCAAUAUAUCAACCUACAUACGUACGUCCAUGGGUAAAAUCAUCUCUCUUCCAUUAAUUCAUGACACAAAAAUAUAAAAAAUAAAAUCAGAUUAUAAGAAACUCUCUUCUAAAAGCUCUUCGCGUUUUACUUUUAACUAAGGCAUUUAUAAUGAAGCUUUAAACUCUAAAAGAUGAAUUACAAGAGUUUAUAGCCCUUAAACUCCAAUUCUAGUAUAAACGCUCGCCUCCGCCUAUCCGAGUUUCUAAUUCGCUUUUAGUUGUCAUUCUCCUAGCUAAAAAAUUCUCUCCAGAAUGUUUCUAAACUAUUCGUAAUCUUUAAAAAAUAAGAUUAGAUUAAAUUGGAGUCAAAUCCAAUAUAUCCAGCCCAUCACGUCACUCCGGUAUGGAAUACUUGGGAGUACGGGCACUGAAACUUUUCUAAAAUUUCAGUACUAGUACUCAUAGUCACAUAUCGAUACACGAUACAAAAAAUAGUUUUUCAUAACUUCGAAUUCUAAGGUACUCUUCAGUAUUGAUAUUAAAACUUCAAGUUUCGACACUAGGCAUCCAGAAAUCUUAAAUUUUUGACUUUUUCACCAUAUAAUAUCGACUCAAAAUAUAGCUAUACAUAAUCCAACACUUUAAGUGUCAUCUAACGCUAUUAUACAGAAAAAAUAAAUAAAUAAUCAAAACAAAAUCAUGUAAGACAUGAAUGCUACGGUACCAAAGUGUGGUUUUUUUUUUUUGCGUAAUCGGAAAGGUAGAAGUUUGAUUUUUGCUCCUUAAAAGUCUUGACGUUCAUGACUUUGUGUAAUAAUAUUUUUUUUCUAUAAAGUAAUUUAGUUUAUUUUGAAAAAAAUGACUUACAGGCCGAAUACUUUUCUCUUAUAAGCAUUUGACCAUAUUUCACGAUUUGUUUUAUCACAUUAUGCACCGAUUUAUUAGAUAUUUAUCAUGGAUGUGAGUAAUAGUAUUAAGGCUAUUUUCGAGCCUUAUAUGUUGAACAACCUAUGCAUUUACAAAGUCAUACUAGUAUGUACGGUUUACACGUCAAUUUGCAAUUCUUCGCAAAAAUAAGCAAAAUAUUUUUCUAUUGCACUUUCCUUUCGCGCCUUACGUACUUUUCGCAACUUGUUUUGGCCUCUUAGUCCUUUUUUUCUCUUUUAUUUGCAUUUACUUAUAUUUGAUAGUUGAGAAAUCCAAAAUAUCUGCUAUAAUUAAAAAGAAAUUAAAAAUGACAGUUAAUGCUCAAAGACAAAUUAAUAUUUAAAAUUUGGAGCUUCUAAUCUUUUUUGCAUAGAUGAUGAGAAGCUGUUGGGAAGAAUCUAACAUAUAAUGCUUCUCAAUCCUACUUCUAAAAGAGCACUUUAUGGAAUAUCAGGAGCAAUCAAACAAUUGUAUGAAUUGUACACCAAUCAAAUUUUGACCAUAUAACUUCAAAACUUUUAUAUAAUACUAUUAUUAUUAUUAUUAUUAUUAUUAUUAUUAUACUUUAAUCACUAAAAUAUCUUUAAUUAGUUUCUAUGUUAUAUUGUUAUCUCUCUAAUAUGUAUGGUGUGGAUAGUACAGAGGUACAUCCUGAUGAGUCUUGUGAGGCCACGUGUACACAUAUAUGACUGUUGUAGAAAAUUUCGAUUUUCUUUUUCAUUUUAGUUUUUGUGAUGGCAAUCUAAUGGGCAUUGCUGUCGUAAACGUCGUACAUUCUAAACUCUAAACCCUAAAUAAGAAAACAAAAUAGCUAUGACGAUCAAAUGCAGGCCCAUUUUUUUGAUCUGUAGUGCCACAAAAACCACCCAAAUUCCGACCAUUGAGAUCAUCCCCCGUGAGUUGAUUAAGACUUCCAAAUUCACACCCCUGCAAGAACUUCACUAAGGGGCAGUUUGGUUCGAAAUAAUUAUAAAUACAGAAUAGGUAGAUAUAUAUAUAUAUAUAUUAAAAAUAUAGUAAUUAUUAUUAUAUAUAUUUUUUAUUUGGUUGAAUGUAGCAGAAAAUAUUAUAAAUGUUUUGUUUGGUUCCAUAGGAUUGAGAAAUAUAUUUACAAAGUUUUAUCAUUUUAUCUUAUACAUGGAUGGCGAGGCGAGAUUACCCCCUACAUAAGGAAGAAGAAAAAAAAUCUUUUAAAAGAUUAUUAGAAAUGUAAAUUUAUUUUUGUUUAAAGUUACUUUUUUCAAAUACUGCAAUUAGAACUACUAUCAAUUUGAGUGUUCCGACUGCUAUAGUUGAAUCUCUUUGUGCAGUUGCAUUAAGAUACAGCAGAAUAAAUAAUAAAUUUAAAUUUAUAUGUAACUACAACUAUAAUAUAGGUACAAUAUUUAUGUGUAACCCAAAAACUCUAAAAUAGCACCAGAAAUUAGUGCAUCACAUGAAAAUUAAUGGUCUUUGCCCAUGGACUGUUUGCCAUUUUUGUCCCCAUGGACACAAUGAUCUUUUUGGCGAUUGGACCUAAUACCAACAUUCAAUCAAAUAACUAAAAAAGAAAAAAAAAAACCCAAAAGAAAUUUAGAAAGAAAGAAGCCAAAAAUGAAAAUGUGGCAGUGACACGGUAUGGUGCUCCUAACCAACCAAAUUGUAUUCCUAAGUUUCAUCUUUUCUAUCAUUCUAAUCAUAUAUUUUUUCAUCCAAUAUAUAUAGAACUAGGUUGGAAUGCUAUUAAUAGCACCAAAUUAUUGGUGCUAUUAGAUUUUCGGCCAUUGGAUGAAGAAAUGUACCGUUAGAAUGAUGUUGGCCCCUCAGAGUAGAGUGAGUUAUUGGUUUAAUAGUAUAAUCUAACGGAUAAAAAUAAUCAAAAGGUUAAAUCAAAUGGCGAAAAACUCAAUAGAACCAAACACUUGGUACUAUCGAUAGUAUCCCAAUCGGAUUAUAUAUAUAGAGAGAGAACUGGGCUGUUAUACUAUCUAUAGUACCAGAGUUUCAAUAUUAUAGUCUCGUUUUUUAUCUAAGUGUACGCAAAUCAAUGAUCCACAUAGUUAAAUAUAAUUUAGGGUAAAUAAAGUUUUUCAAAAUAAAAUUUUAAUUUUUUUCAACAUCGCUUACUUGAUAAGUAAAUUAUAUCAAAAUGAAUGGUAGAAAUUGAACAAUCAUUAAAAUUUGAAGAUAAGACUUUUAAUUCAAGAUCAAAAAUGCUGAUCUUAAUCUAUAUAGUUUAAAAUAUUUUCUAUCAAAAUUUGAAUAAAUUUAGAUUUUUCUGCACCGUUAAAAUACAAACUCCUCAUAGUAGCGAUUGAAAAUCAACGAUUUUGAAAUAAUUUAAUCAUAAAGUGAAUUAUGUCGAAAAAAUAUAAAAUUUUAUUUCUAAAAACUUAAAAUACUCUAAAUUAGUUUUAAUAGUGUGGAUCGUUAAUUUAAACAUCCAAAGAUCGAAAACGAGACUAUAGUACUGAAGUCUCUAUACUAUAAAUAUUAUAGUAACCUAGCUCUCUCUCUCUCUCUCUCUCUCUCUCUCUCUCUCUCUCUCUAUAUAUAUAUAUAUAUAUAUAUAGAGUUGGUCUGGGCUACUAUUAGUAGCAAAAUUCCAUUGUUGCUACUAAUUUUUUANAUAUUUCUGAAAAAAAAAAAAGAUUGGUUGAGGCAUAAAUAUUAUGGUGUCAGCUACUAUAAAGGAGACGACAUGAUGCAGUCAAUUUAACAUUAGAGUUUACGAAAAAAAUGUGACCUAGCCAAACUUAACAUUAGAGUUUAUGAAAAAAUGUGACCUAGCCAAACUGGACUAAGAAUCUCAUUGAGUUCAACAAUUUUUACAAAUAGAGUAGAAAAAAUUUUUAAAUGAUCAUAACUAUUCGCUUCAACAUCCGCUUUCAGCAUGCAAUCUCAAAUUGAAAAAUACUUUUCAAAAUCUAUGCGUCGAAAAAAAGGCCAUUAUGACUGAGUUUGGAUUCAAAUUUAAUUAACUGUUUAGACCUCUGUUUUUACAUUUCUAGAUUAUGUUUGAAAAGUUUUGUAUAUUUUCUAAUUUAAGUCUAACUAUUUGGUUAUUUCUGAUCAAUUUAAGUUUAAAAAUAUAUUAGAAUUUGUUAUCUUCGAUCACAGUAGAAUUCGAAUAUCGAUCUUAAUUAUAUAUAUGUGACAUUCUAUUAAUAUAAUUAGUAUUUUUCAGAGUUGAUUAAUAAUUUUUUUUUUGUCAAAUAAUUAUGUUUUUCGUGUCUCUCUUUCCGUCGAUACGCUUCGUCAUCUUAAUCACGCAACUUUUAGAUAUGCGUCACCACCUAAUGAAAAGGAAAAAAAAAAAAGUGUCGAGGAUCUCUGUACUAUUUCUAUACGAAAUUUAGUCCCAGAAUUUAGGUCUUGUUUGGUGUCAACGUAUAUAAAUAUUCUAUAAAAUGGUGGAGGAGUGGACUUUAAUAACUAGAUUCAUUGGAUUAAAAAUAUUUGCCAAACAAAAACUUAGUUAAUAAAUUUUCAGAUACAUUGCAUUUUACUUUCUGAACACAAUUUUUUUGUGAUAUACUUAAAUGAGUUAAUCAUUAUAUAUGGUAGAAUAGUAAAGCUUUUAUUGUAUAUUGAAAAAUAAAUUUGUUCAUGACAUGCAUGAACAUAACAAAACCUUAAUUUGCAUAAAUACAGUAUUUAGAUACAUGGAUAUCAUUUUAUGUCUAUUUUUAGUUAUUUAAAAACUUUAUAAUAUUUAGUAGAUGAGUGUGGUCAAAUUGCUAGAAAGGUUUAUUAUUUAAUUAUUUCGAUACAUGAAUAUCUAUGCUUGUAUUUGUUUUACUUAUUUAUGAACUUUAUAAUAUUUAGUAGAUGAAUAUGGUCAAAUUGUUAGAAAGGUAUAUUAUAUUAAGGUUUCGAAUCACUUGCUUGGAAUAAGAUAAAUCAUCUUACAGAUAAAAUUUAUUGUGCUACUAAAUUAUGGAUGUCAAGACCUUCUAGAAAGCUAAAAAUCAAACUCAUGGCUUGCUUUUUCAUAUACUAUUUUUCGACGUUGGAAUAAGCUACCUAAUAAUAAAUUAUUCAGUAUAAAAAAAUAUUUCUUUAUGAUUGAAAGUUAGAAGUUUGAAGUUUACUUGUUGAAAGAUAUUAACAUUCAUGAUUUGAGAGAAUAACAUACUUCACAUGCUAGUAAUUUAUCUCGAGCUAGAAAAAUAAUUUGGAGAUCGGAUAUGAUAUUCCAAUUUAGAUAUUUAAUCGCAUUUCCCAUUUUCCAAAUACUAGUGCCCUAUUUGGAUGCACGAGCAUUUUAUUCGGCAUAUCAUUAUCGAUUUACUCAAAAAACAUAUAAUAUUAGACAGAUGAUGAGUAUAAUUAAAUAGGCUAAAUUAUAGAAAACCCUCCUAUUCAUACCCGCUUUUUCACUUUCCCUCCCGUCAUUUAAAAAUCUACACUUUGCCCUCUUAUAAAAUAAAAAAUGUUUACUUCACUCUCUGCCGUUAGUGCUCCGUUAGGAUUCCGUUUAUAAAAUAUUAUUAUAUAUUUUUUAUACCAAAAAUACCCUCAACCUCCUUUCCUGCCGCCUUGCCCUCCUCCGCUGUCUCGCCCUUGCCCACAUCUCCGUCCACGCCCACAAACACCCCCUCGCCCUCCUCCGCCGCUUCGCCUUCGCCCUCGUUGCCCAUACCCACCUCUCUAUCCACGCCCAAUUCGAUUUCCUCCCUACUGUUGCCGGAAAGGAGGGGCGACAAGGAUGGAUGAGGAGAAGGGGAGCAGGUGGAGAAGAAAAUUGAGAGAACCGCUGCCGAUUGAGGCGCGAACUGCAGCCAAUCGAGACGGCGGAUGAGCGAGAUGAGAGAGGAGACGAAAAUUAUGAGAAGCAAAUUGGUCAUUUUGUCAUCACAAUUCACACCGUACGCCUCUGUGAAUAAUUUUUAUUUUAUAAGGGGCAAAGUAUAGGUUUUUAAAUGACAGGGAAAAAAUAAACAAGUGGAUAUUGACAGAAAAAUUUUAUGUAAUUUAGCCAAUUAAAUAUCUAGAAUAUACACUAUAUUUAGUCUUUAAGUUGAUUUUUGAAAUAAAAUAAAUCACAUCGUAAAAAAAAUAUAUUAUCCUACCAAUUAAUGGAUGUAAUGAUUUUUUUUAGCAGCAAAAAUCAAAUUCCUACAUAUUCCUACAUUCUAAUCACACAAAAAAAAUUAAACCGAAUAAGUUAUAUUCUGGCAUUCACGCAGAGACUAUAAACUUUCUAAGUAAAUAAAAAAAUAUAUAUUAAACAAAAUAUUCAUACAUAUUGUGACAUUCAAACAAGCCUAUAAAAAUAAGUAAAAAUGCAUAAAACUUAUGUAAACUUUUGGUCAUUUUGAAUUAGUUACCCAACCUUUCAAAAUUUGGUUUCACUAUCCAAUUUUUUAAUUAGUUUGAUUUGAAUGGCACUUUUAACUUCAAAAUUUAUGUUAAUUAUUAUUUAUUUUAAUGAAUAAAUAGUUACAAAAAUUAUAUGAAAUAUCCUAAUUAAACCUGCAAAAGUAAACAAAAAAAUUUAAAUUUUAAAGUCAAAGUGUCAUUGACCGACUCAAAGUAAAUAAAUUGAAAGAUUCAGGAAUAUUGGAGCCAUGGUGACGCCCACAGUGCCCUCACCCCUUCCCCUCAACUUUUAAAAAUUACAUAUAAGCCUUUUAUAGUAAAAAUUAAAAUAUUACAAAUUUUAGUUUUAGGAGGGGCCAAAUUAUUUUUUUUAUAUAAUAAAACGUUUGUCCCAAUCUUUUCCGAACUCCUCGACCUUUUUUCUUCGGCUUUUAUAGUCUUGCAUCUCCUUAAACCUAUUAUCGCUACAAUGGCUAGCAAUAGAUGGCCAGUAAAUCUGCCAACCUUUUUUUUCUUAUUUUUUUUCUACCAAACUUAAAUCCUUACAUUUUUUAACCUUAUAUAAUUUAUGCAGGGACAAAACCAUAGUUCAAUCAGGAGAGAGGCCAAAAUAUGUACAAAUAAAAAUUUUAACAGAUAAAUAAGAUUUUAGCUACUCAAAUUUUAAAUAAAAAAAAUUUAAUGAUUAGAUAAUUAAUGUUGAAAAAUAUUAAAUUUAUUUCUUUAAUUUACACUCGCUUAACUUCUAAUUAUUUUAUUGUAGUAUUCCAUUCAAAUAACUUAAAAAUUUUACUAAAUCUAAUAAUUUAGUUAGAAUUUUUUUUUCAAAUCUAAUAAUUUAGUUAGAAUUUAUUUUUUUAAAAUAUUUGUUAGUAAAAUAAUAACAAGCAAUGACUAAUAUCUAAGCUAUUAAAGUUAGCAUACUAUUUUAUUUAGUUAAAUAAAUUAGCUCAUCAAAAAUAAUUAGAAAAUUUAGAAUGUAUAAAUAAAAUAUUUAAAGUUGAAAGGACUUAUUUCAAAAUAUACUAUAAUUAAGAGGUUCGUAUAUUUUCAGCUAUAAAACACAUAAGAAGAGAGAGAGAGCUUUAUACUAGUACUAAAACCUGUUACGACAAGCGCACAAACGGAAACGAAAAUGACGAAAAAAAAUAAACAAACCACAAAAAAAAAAAAAAAAAAAAAAAAAAAAAAAAAAGAACACACAAAUUUACGUGGAAAGUCCUUUGCAGGAAAAAUUACGGACGUGGGAGGAGAAAAAUUCACUAUCGAACGAAAAAAGAAAUACAAUGUUCAAAAAGUGCGACCAACUUCAAUCCGUCGGCUCUAGGGCAAAAACGAGAAAUAAAAUUUUUAACAGGUUUCGGAUCUGAUCCGUACCGCGGGGGGCUCCGCCCCCUGCAUCGACCCGAGCCCUCCGCUACCCACCAGUCCACCACCGACAUUUAUUUUUCCUUCAUAAUUUUAUUUUCCAAUUUGAUCGCACCGCAAAACUAUCGGCGAUUCGAAAUACCGUGCUCGAUUAUCAAUUUCGAGUCACAUCUAACUAAAACUUUUUACAAGAUAAGCCCAUAUAUUUUAAAAGUUAACUUAAAAUUUAUAACCUACCAAAAGACUAUAAAGUAAAUAUUCAAGAGUUGAGGGGUCCCACAUAUUUUAAAGAUUAACUAUAUUACAAAAGGGCUAUAAAGUAAAUAUUGAAAAGUUAAGAAGGGCCAUGGCGCUUUGAGUCUAUAGUGCAUGGUCACUGAAUUUCGGCUUCAUCCCUGGUAAUUAGGAAAUUGAAAAUACUCUGUAAUUACCGACCGUCCCUAGAGCAAGUGGUAAAAGGCUUGAUAGUUUGUACCCAAGACCCAAGUUCGAAUCCUAGUUGAUUCACAUUUCCAGCUAAGUUUAUUUCUAAAUAAAAUAAACGAAGCGGAUAGCGUGCUACCUAUCUCUAAAAAAAAAAAAAAAAAAAAGAAAAUACUCUGUAGUUAAUUCUNAAAAGAAAAUACUCUGUAGUUAAUUCUAACUAGGAGUAGGACAAGUUGGCUACAUUUUUUUGUACGGAGAAAAUAAAAACAGAAGUCUCGAGAGGGUUUGAGCCGGGGGAAGUAACAACUGGGGGAGGUCGCGCUCGAUCGAGAGAGAGAGAGAGAGGGAGGGAGGGAGAAGCGCGCAGAGCGAAAGAGCAAAAGAGCAAAAGUGGCCGCGUCGCUUGGGUGUUGUUGGCCCUUUCACGCUGCUUUGAGCCAGAGCGCUCCCCCCAACCGCGACCCUUUGAAGCCACCCACGGCCCCCCGUUUCUUUAUCUGGCCAUUGGAAAUUCCGAUCCGCCGCUUCACCCCUCCCCACACCCCCUCCAAACCAACUCUUUACCCCUUCAAUUUUGGGCUCCAUUACACCACCACCGCCACCACCACCUUCCCUUCGCCCUUGUAAUUAAUAACUAGAAAAAAAACAAAAAAAGUGCAAAGAUUGUCUAAAUUUUAACACUUUUGCGCGCGCACGUCUCAACUUUUGAUUUUUCUACGUGUUAACGUUCUAGUUACGUGUCCAACAUCUAAUUCUAGUCUCUAGCGCAAGUGAAAAAGAACUUGAUAGUUGGUAUUCGAGAUCCUAAAUUCGAAUUUUAAUUGAUUCACAUUUUCAGCUAAAUUUAUUUUUAAAAUAAAGUAAACGAAGCGGCUAGCCUGCUAACCUAUCUCUCUCAGAAAAAAAAACACAUAAUUCUAUCAGAUUUCAAAAUGUAAAGAAAUUUAUUCUUUCAUCAGAGUUUGCUAAUUCAGAAUGAACAUUGAAGAACAGAUUAUGAAUCUACGUUUGUUUUUCGUUGCUUUUUUUUUUUUUCCUGUGGUAGAAAAAAAAAAAAAAAUUUUUGCGUCUUAACAUUGUGUGGGAAUUUUUAUAAUAUAUACAAGCAAAAUAGCUGUAUAAUAUUUUAUAAAAUUUAGGAGGAUUAAUUGUGUAAAUUGAAAGUUCAGGCGUUCAUUUGUGAAUGAGCUGAAGUUUAGAGAUAUUUGCACAUUUUGUGUCCUAAUUAUUAUUAAUUAACACCCUAUAAUAUGUUCGUAAUUAUAAAUGCCGUUCCAUUUGUUUAGACUUAAUAUACAACAUGAUUAGAUAAUCUAUUUAUAGAAUGUGGUGUUUAACUAUUAGGUUUUAGAGUAUUAAUGGGGGUGGGGGCAAACCCUUUUAGGAUCUCUUGUUUUUGAGAAUAGGUAGCACGCUACCUGCUUUAUUCAUUGAAUAAAUAAAUUAGGCUACAGAGAUGAGACAAUCAGGAUAUCGAGAAGAGGAAAAAAAAAAAAAGAGUCAUAGAGUGUCUUGUUGAUCAGGACCUCUUGUUGAUUAGGACUUUUGACUAGUAGUUUUGUACUCGGAGAAUUUUGUAUUAUUAUAAAAGAGUGGGUGAAAAUAAUAGUACCACAUAUUGUGAUUUUAGCUGAGUUAAAAGUUGCACUCUGUUUGCAAAAGGAAUCUUGCUGUUGCUGGAUAAUGGUGCUGGGAUUAAAAAUACUUUAGGGACAGCCUUGCAAAAUUUUAAUUUGAUUUGGUUUUUAAUUAUGAUGCCAUGCAUGUAUAGGGCCUUGAUUUUAGAUGCGCUGGGUUUUUUAUUAAGUAGUUGUAUAGGAGUUUAAUGGUUGAUAUUCGAUAUCCCAAAUUUGAUUAUCAGAGUUAAUUUCUUUCUAAACAAUGAAAGAAAUUAUCUUUUCUCCCAAAGAAAAGAAAAGAAAUUUUGACAAACUCUUUUAAUGAUGAGAUGGUGAAACAAAUUUUUGACACACUCACUUAAAAGUUCAAAUUUGUUGGUACAUUUGCUCCUGUAUAAAUUUCUCCUUUGUUUGUUUUAACAUAGUCUUUUAAUUUUUUGAGAAAAAAUAAGAAUGCUAUCUGUUUCAUUCAAUAAAAAAUAAAUUUAGCUACAAAAUAUGGAGACAGCCAAGGCCUCAAUAAGAGCGAGAAAAACGCACACACACUCCUAAAAAAAAAAAAAGAAAAACACAUAGAGUAUUUAAGUAUAUAUAAUGCCAGCUGAGAAUUAGGAAUCACUGCAUGGACAGCAGGUGGUUAAGGGUCAAAUGUACACAAGCUUAUUUUAAUUAACUGCAGGAUAUUACUAAUUGAAGCAACUUUUUCAAUAGAGAUACUUGGAUAUCAAGCAUUAAAUAUGGAAAGAGGAAAUAAGUUUUAUCUAUUUAUUUAUCAAGAUUAUACAUUGAUUAUGACGCAUGUUGUGUUUUGAAGCAUUUUGUUUAAGCAUCAAAACUCCAAAUUCAUUUUAUAUAUUCCACUAGAAUUUACUUCUCGAGUAGAAAAGAUGUUAUAAAUAUAAAGUAUACAGAGAAGCUAAUAUUACACCUUGCAAGAUUAAGUCCAUUGGGUAUGUAUUAAGAGAUUAAACUAAUUAAGCAAGUAUUUUAGAUUAAUUCCUUUCCUCAUUAAUCUAUGACUCAGCAAAGGUAUGACUCCUUAAUUUAGAAUAAGGAGAAAGAACCCACCCACAAUAAAUGGUGACAGGGGUAAAGGCAUGAUUCCAAACACAUCAUUUUAGAGGUAGUUCAAUUUGGAUACUUCUUGAUAAAGUUGAAUAUCUUGGAAGAUUUUAAAGGUGUCAUUAAUAACAAUAGGUCUUUCAUAUAUUUUCUGAUGAGACAUCUGAAUCGAUGUUCAAUACGAUUAAAUAUAAAUUUAGGCAUUUUAAUUUCAACAAACCAAAUAUUUCAUAUAACAGUGUGGAUCAUUAUUCCCACCAUCCUAUCUUUGAAAAUUAGUAUACAACGUGAAAGACUUGCUAUUAAUUAGGUUCACCUUUUUUUUUUGUUUUUCUUUUGUUUUUUGUUUGGAAAUAAGAGAAGAAAACUAGCUCCACUUCAGAAAAGUUUAUCACUAUUUAUUACUAACAUAAUCACUAUUCAUUACUCCUUAAAAGUUUUGUAUCCGAGUGCUUAAUUGUUAGUACUUAAGUUUUAAGUUCGAAGUUUAGUUACUGCACAUUGUUAGUUAAGUCCAUUUAAAAUAAAAUGAACAAAACAAGUGGCGUAUUAUUUUUUCCUCUGAAAACAAAAAUAAAUAGUUUGUAUAAACCCUAAAACUCACAAUAGUGUUAAGUGAAUUUUAGCUUAAGAAAAUUUCAUCUAAAGCAAGAAUCCACCGUGUCGUGCCGAACCGUUCCUACAAGAUACCGGCACGAUAUAGAUCUCGUGCCGAUGGCAUAGCUCAAAACCCUCUAUUCUUUAAUUUAGCAAGUAAUUUGCUCAAUAAAGUUCAAAAGAUGUGAUAAAAAGAUAUAAUAAAUAGUUAGAAUAUUUUGUUGCUAAAGAAAAUAAAUAUUUCAUGCUAUUAUGUGUCGGCACAUAAGAAUUUUUUUGACCGACACGCAUCGGCACGAUUCAGCACACACCAUGCUGUACCGUGCCAGUAAGUUUCCAGCACGACCCGUGCCACGGCACUCAAAUAAAGUAUCUAAAAAAUACAACAAAAGAACAAUAAUUUUUUUUGAAAACCACUAACUAAAAGAAUAUUGCUAGAUUCUUUGCCUCCUCCUGGAUGCUUGGAAGCUAUUGCCAAUAAACAAAUAUUUCAAUUAGAAUUAUACAAAACAAUUCAUUUCCUUUUGUUGUACACCUCCCAUACAUCUCCUUAUACAUCAUUAAAAGUAUAAGAUAUUUUCCCUUCUCCAUUAAUCAGAAACUCUAUUUUAGGCCUCAUUUAAUGCCCACUUUUCUAGUAGGCCCUCAGAUCUUUCCAGUCCAUUCCAGCAGCAACUAAUUUAUAAUUUUUUAUUAUUGUUGAUUAUUGUAUACACAGAGCAAAGCAACAUAUUUGUAGUGCCUUAAUCAAUGUUACCAAAAUCAAAUUACCACUGAAAAAAUGAAAUUAAUAUUCCGCCGCUUUUCGCGAAAACGGUUAACUAUCUGACUCCCCUUUAAUGGCGUGCUAAUUGUUUUUUCCUUCUUCUUCUUCUUUUUUUGUGGAUGAGUGCAACCAAUCAUGCACUGAUCUCUCAGCUUUUUAAUCAAUAAAUCACCAGAAGAAAUAAAACUGUCCCACAAUCACAUGAUUAGCAUCUAAACCAAUUGGGAGAUUAUAUUGAUGUGGUUAAUUAAUAGGGCAGGUUUGAGUUGCAGAUCCAAUAUUUACUGUUGUUUUUGUUCAAUUUUUGUUAUUAAGCAUCAAGUUGGUAUCAUCUAGAGAGUCGUGUUAAAAAAGGUCAAACAAUAUGAUGAUUUGUCAUUAAAGUUGCUUAACAAGUAGAAAAUAUUACACUACUAUUUGUUUUAGGGACCUGUUGUUCUGAAUGUAAUGUAGAAAUGCAUGUGAUUCUGAAGAAACCUGCAGAGGACAAAUUUUGGUAGUUUUCUAUAUUAAAAAUCUGGGGCUUAUAUUGACACUAGAUUUUCUCUGAUAUCAGUUUAUCAUAACAACAACGGAAAAAAAUCAAAUUCAUCACACGCGAAAAUACGAAAAGAAAAAAAAAUCAAAAAAAAAGAAAAAAAAAUAAAGAAUGUAAAACAUAAUAAGAUUAAAAAACCUUACGGUUCCAAAAUUCAUGAUAUAUCUAACAUUCUCUUUAAAGGUUUACAUUGAGUUCAAGGUAUAAUUCAAAUAUAUAGUUGAGAAAAGUGACAUAUUAUUUCCGAUCCGAGGUUUACAUUGAGUACAAGGUAUAAUUCAAAAUCAAAUAUACAGUUGAGAAUAGUCACAUAUUAUUUCCGAUCCAAUAACCACAGUUACAAUUCACCUACAGGAAAAGUUUUUUCGCGUAAUUUUUUGAGUAGAAAUUAGUAGGAUUUAUCCUGUAACUCAAUUUCAUUGAGUACAAAAUUAAGUGUAUAAUUUUAAGAGUAUAAUCUAGGAACAAUUUUUUUUUUUUUUUUUUUUUUUNCCCAAAUGUAACACCUGUAAAUACUGUGUCGGCGAGACGAGAUUGGACACCGCAAGCAAAUCGUAACGCGUCUCUUUUGUGCGGCAGUGGCCGUUUUUUCUCGGAAGGCGCGGUCGGUCGAAAACCGGAAGCGAUGCAACUUGUGCUGAUAAAAACCAGGUGAAGCAAAACCACCAGCAUGCAUAAAUUCUGGAGAGAUAUUUUUGCUCUUUUUCUUCCACAUUGAAUAUAGCAGAAAUUUGAAUACACAAGGAAGUAAAAGAGCAUGGAAGUGUAGUGUACUGCCCAAAUGCUGCUUCUGCAUUUGUAAUCUCACAGCCACAGGAGUGGCAUCAGCAAGCUAUCAAAUAAGCUGAGCCAAGAAAGUCCUUAACUUGUAAUAGCUCAAGAUUCCUUACUUUUACUUUCACCAAAAAAAAAAAAAAAAAAAAAAAAUCUUAAUUUGAUAAUGAGAAAGUAUGCAGAGAUAUAAUUUUUAGCGGUAAAAAUAUAUAGAAUUUAUCUGAACUAUAGACCAUUUUAAAUUGACUAUUUAAGUUUUUAAAAUUUUGAUUUUAUCAUCAAAUCUUUCAAUUUAUGUGAUUUAAGUCGGUCAACGAUAUUUUGACUUUAAAAUUUAAACUAAUUUUUUAUUUUAAUGAAUAUAUAGUUGUGAGAAUUAUAUGAAAUAUAUUAACUAAACCUGUAAAAAUGAACGGCACAUUCAAAGUUUUAAGUCAAAAUGCUGUUGACUAACUCGAAUUAAAGGAGUUGAAAGACUGAUUAUUAAAUUCAAAAUUUUGAAAGAUUGGAUACUACAUUUAAAAUAGUUCGUAAUUCAAGUAUGUUUCGUACGGUUUUUACCUCUUUUUUAUUUCUUGCGAAAUGUACUAAGCUUUUGCAGAAAUAAACAAAAUAAUAUUAUUCAAUCGAACUUUUCAACUACAUUUUUUGCAUGCUUCUUGUAAUUUCAAAUGAAAUCUUAUUUUGACACUGAUCAUACGGAGUGUUAAAUUUAUAGUUAAACUUAAUAGCAAAAUCAUUUUAUGCAACAACUGAUUAAAAAAGAAUAGAAUUUUACAUAAUCAUUAGCCAAAAAAAAGAGAGAAAAAAUAAAGCCAUUAUAUUAUAUCCUUAAAACCAUAUCAAAGGCACAUCGAAUAUUAAUUUGGGCAUAAACAGAGCAACGGAGUGAGUAUAAAUGCUGGUUGUCCCUCAAAACAUUUAACACUCCAUUAAUCUACUUAAUAUUCUCAAAAAAAUAAAAAUCAGUGAAAAUCUAACACAAAAUAAUAUAAAAGUUAGGAUACGAGAAUUCAUAAAAUUCUGGAUAAAUGAUUAAAUUACAAUCUCUACUCACAAUUUCGCAUAAAAGUAAUGGUAAAAAUCUCCAAUGUAGUUUAAUUUUAUUACUAUUUCAAAAUCUUGAAAAAAAAAAAAAACUAAAAGCUUGCAAAGAGUUUAGCUGAGUGAUGGCAUGCGCAUUUGGUGUAGAAUAUUUUGAAACUUGUUUUAAUUAACUCAUUAAAAUUUACCAUAUAAAACGUAAUACGAAUUAUUACCGUUUAGGGUUCAUUUAAACUGAAAUAUCUCGCUGAUUUGUAUUUAAACAAUUUUAUAUAUUUAUUUUAAUUAUACAAUAAUUACUACUAAGCUAAUAAGUGCGCAGUUUCUUAAUCGUUCGGUUCGGGAAUAAGCAACAAGUGUCUAUUCCAGGGAUAGAUAUAAAUUGAGAUAUAAGCGGGAAUUAGAUCAAUUUUGCGUUUGGAUAAAAAUUAUGUUAUUCCUGAAAAUAAAAAAAAUAGUGUUUGGUUAGAUAAGAUGGAAUAAGAAGGAUAGUUAGUUUUUAUAAAUAAAAAUAAUGAUAUUACCCUCUUAUUAUAUUUAAAUUUAAAAUUUUAACUUUUAAAUUUCAAAUUUUGAAAUUAAAAUUUAAAAUUUAAAAUCUCAAAUUUUAAAUUCAAAAUUUAAAUUUUAAAUUUCUAACUUUAAAUUUAAGAUCAAAUUUAAAUUUGAAAAAAUAUAAAAUAUUAAAUUCUAAAUUUCAAAAUUUUAAAAUAUCUAAAGUUAGAAUUUAAAAUUAUAAACUUUAAUUUUGAGAUUACAAAUUAUAAAUUUAAAAAUUUUAAAUUUUAAUUUUAAAUUUAAAUUUUAAAAUAAGAAUGGGAUGGAACAAAUAAUAAAAAUAAUUUAUUAUAAUAAAUUUAUAAUUUUUUUUAAAAUCUACUUAAACUUAAUUUAAUAAAAAAUACUUAUAAUAUUUAAAUAUAAAUAAUAUGUAUUAAUCUAGUACAAUUAAUAAUUUUAUAAUAAAAAUAAUAUAUUAUAAUAUAUAAUAUAUUAUAUUUAUAUAAUUUAAUUUUAAUUUAAUUAUAAUCGAGAAUAAUAAAAUUUGAUCGGGAUAAAAUAUUUCCCCAAUAAAUCAUUCUGUUUGGUAAAAUAGUGGGAGAUAACGUCUCCGCUUAACUCGUGAACCAGACGGGGCCUAAAACUCGCCAAACGACCCAAGAUUCAUUAUUUAGAAAGGCCCCACCCCCCACACAUAUAAAUAAGAGCUCCCUCCUCCCCCUUCCUCCUCGCGCACAAAAAGGAAAAGGGAAAGAGAAUAUUCAGUUUAACCCCUCAAAAAAAUUUCCCUUUCCCUUUAACCCCUCCUCCGCCCCUCCCCUCCGCUUCACCCACCAAUGGCCGCAUCGGUCGGGAACCGGCGGUUCGGCCCGCUCGAGCCGGGGCUGCAGCUGAACCUCCGGCCCGACUCCCCGGUCCGGGGCUGCAGCUUCCCCGCCCUCCUCGACCCGCCCUCCUCGAAGCCGCGGCCGUCCGAGUCGCAGUCGGACUCGGACUCGGACUCGGACUCGGACGAGCCGGAGUGGAAGGCGCUGCUCCGCGCGCAGGCGCAGCACCUCCUCGAGGUGGAGCCCGCGGUCCACGACCCGCGCGACGAGGGCACCGCGGACGCGUGGGUCCCGCGCAACCCGACCCUCAUCCGGCUCACGGGGAAGCACCCCUUCAACUGCGAGCCCCCGCUCGCGCGGCUCAUGCACCACGGCUUCAUCACCCCGGCCCCGCUCCACUACGUCCGCAACCACGGCCCCGUCCCGCGCGCCGACUGGUCCACGUGGACCGUCGAGGUCACCGGAUUGGUCAAGCGGCCCCUCCGGCUCACCAUGGACCAGCUGGUCCACGACUUCCCCCCCGUCGAGCUCCCCGUCACCCUCGUCUGCGCCGGGAACCGGCGCAAGGAGCAGAACAUGGUGCGCCAAACCGUGGGCUUCAACUGGGGCCCCGGCGCCAUCUCCACGUCGGUGUGGCGCGGCGCGCGCCUCGUCGACGUCCUCCGCCGCUGCGGCAUCGUCGGCCGCAAGCACGGCGCGCUCAACGUCUGCUUCGAAGGCGCCGAGGACCUGCCGGGAGGCGGAGGGUCCAAGUACGGCACCAGCCUGCGCCGCGAGGUGGCCAUGGACCCGGCCAGGGACGUCAUGUUGGCCUACAUGCAGAACGGCGAGCUGCUCGCCCCCGACCACGGCUUCCCGGUGCGGGUCAUCAUCCCGGGCUUCAUCGGCGGCCGCAUGGUCAAAUGGCUCAAGCGCAUCGUCGUCUCCACCGAGCAGUCCGAGAGCUACUACCACUACAGGGACAACCGCGUCCUUCCGUCGCACGUCGACGCCGAGCUCGCCAACGAAGAAGGUAUACAUACAUAUAUAUAUACACCAUCAUUGUUAUUAUUAUUUAGACGCGCGGCUGUAUACUAAUUUACAUGUAUAUAUAUUUAUUUAUGUCGGGUUUUUCGUUGGCGCAGUGUGGUGGUACAAGCCGGAGUACAUCAUCAACGAGCUGAACAUAAACUCGGUGAUCACGACGCCCGGACACGACGAGAUCCUGCCCAUCAAUGCGCUGACCACGCAGCGGCCCUACAUCAUGAGAGGCUAUGCUUAUUCCGGUGAGUAAAGUUCCUUCUCCCUUCUAAUUACUACUGCAUGGGGCAUGAGUUUCCUUUGUGUUUCUCAAUAAUGUAUGUCAACAAUGUAAAAUAGCAAUGCUAGAUCAUUUUUCUCUAAAAAUUUAAAUUAUUAGAACAUUAUAUGAUAUUUCAAAUAUUACUCAUUCGAUAUGUGAAAUUAGGAAUAUGGUAGGAUUAAUUCGUGUCAACAAUGCCAAAGAUUCAUUUUUCUCUAAAAUCUCAGAUUAUAUAUAUAUAUAUACUUUAAGGUAUCGUUUGGUUCGGGGAUAAGCAAAAAGUGGGUAUUCCAGGGAUAGGUAUAAAUUGAGGUAUAAGCGGAGAUUAGAUCAAUUUUGCGUUUGGAUGAAAAUUGGGUUAUUCCUGGGAAUAAGAAAAAUAACGUUUGGUUAGGUAAGAUGGAAUAAGAUUUAAAGUGGGUAGUUAUAAAUAAAAAUUAAUAAUAUUAUCACUUUUUUAUUUAUAUUAGAAUUUAAAUUUUUAUAUUUUAUAUUUAUAUUUUAAAAUUUAAAAUUUUAACUUUUAAAUUUCAAAUUUUGAAAUUAAAAUUUAAAAUUUAAAAUCUCAAAUUUUAAAUUCAAAAUUUAAAUUUUAAAUUUCUAACUUUAAAUUUAAGAUCAAAUUUAAAUUUGAAAAAAAAAAAAUUCAAAUUUAAAAUUUCAAAAAUUUAAAAUUUCAAAAUUUAAAUUUAAAAUUUAAAAUGUGGAAUUUAAAAUUAUAAACUUUAAUUUUGAGAUUACAAAUUUUAAAUUUUAAAUAUAAUUUAUUAUAAUAUUUUAAAUUUUAAAUUUUAAUUAUUUUAAUAUUUAAAUAUAUAUUUAUUAAUAAAUUAUUUAUAAUAUUUAAAUAUAAAUAAUAUGUAUAAUAUACGCACAAUUAAUAUUUUAAUAAUAAUAAUGUAUUAUAAUAUAAUAUAGUAUUUAUAUAAUUUAGUUUUAAUUUAUUUUAUAAUUUAAUAAGUUUGAAUUAAGCAUGGGAAUAGCACUAUUCACUAAAAUGGUGAAUAGUAAAAAGCUUGCUAUUCCGGAAUAACCGGGAAUAGCAAGCUUUGACCGGAAUAAAAAUAUUCCGGUAAAAAAUGAUCCCCGUUGGGCGAAUAGUGGGGAUAAUCCCCGCUUAUCCCCGAACCAAACAGGCCUAAAGAAAAAAAAAAAAACUAAGAGUUGCACAGUAUUCAUCAUAAUAUAGACGACUCACAUACUAGACAACACUGUUUGGUAUCAUAAUAGAUAUAUUAAAUAGCUCUCAAUUAGGAGCAUGACCGGAUCCAAUUACCACCUCCUGUUUACUACUGUAAGUGGCUUGUUGGUUCAUCCAUUUUGGGUAUGAAAUGGGAAUCGUUUAUCAAAUCCGGUUAAUUUUGUUUGGUUCGCAUGAAUCGAUUUGGGAUUCCUAUUCCGGACUGGAAUGGGAAUGAUCCAUUAGCCUUCAACUUGAUUCCGGUCUUCUAACCCGGAUUAAGAUUUCAUUUCGGAAACCCACUAAGUUCUCGAAACUCAUAUGACCAUCUCACCCUCCUUCUCUCCACUCCUUUCUCAUCAAAAAAAAAAAAAAAAAACUAUCCUCUCUCAAAACCUUAUCCCUAACCCACAUCAAUAAAAGUUUUUAAAAAUAAAUUUGAUAUUUUUUUUGAAAAACUUAUUAGAGAAUAGUAUUAUAUUUUUCAUACAUUUUAAAUAAUAUAAAUUUAUAUUUGAGAGUAAAAUUAGUAUUAUAGUAUUCUAUAAUUUUUUUAAUUUAUACGAACCAAACAAUGAAAUGUGAAUAACUCAUUCCAAUUCCCAAUCCACAAAUAAACCAAAUAUCUUAGAAGAGUGGGUCAUUCCAAUUACCAUUCUAAUUCAUUCCCAUUCCAUUAUCCAUUUCAAUUCCACCCUUGAACCAAACAAGCCCUAAAUGUGUCCCCCCUAAAUUUUUUUUUUAAAAAAAUAUAGUUCUGCAAACUUUAAAAUUUUGUAAAUAUAUUUUUCGACGGGUCAAAACUUUAUCACAUUUUUGUAGUACAAUAUUUUGCCGGAUCGAAAUUAGCUAUUGUGGGCUAUUAGAACGGUGAUAUCAACCUUUAUCAUUUUUCAUAAUUAGUAAAACUUUGCAGAAAUAUAUACGAUAUUUUAAACUUCGGAGAAAUAAAUAUACAAAUAUUUAAACUUACAUUUUUCAAUUCUCCCUUUGAAUAAGCUGAUUUUCUCUACUUACUUAGGCUAAUAAGCAAGGGAUAUUUUAUUUAUAUGUUUAAGACUAGUUGUUUUACUUGUUUAGCUUUUUGCUGCUGUUAGCUGUACAAUUUGCUCUGUUAAUUUGACCAUUUCAUGCAUGUGGAUGUGCGUUCGCCGAAUUUGUUGUGCCCGUUAAUGGAGUGAAAGGUCACUGAAAAGCUAGUUCCAUAUUUUGUCUUUACUGGGUCUAGAUCCAGUUAAAUAGCAAACUAGACUUUUGAGUUUAUUGAAUACUUAAUGCAUGUUUAUAAUUAAUUAAUUUGUUUAUUCUUAACUUUCAUUGAAGAUACAAUAUGCUCUUUGAGACUUUUGAUCAUACUUCUCCUUUUACCUAAUGGCUAAUGCUAUAAAUUUUCCGCACAAAUAAAAUUAUUUAUAUUAAUAAGAUGCUCGUACAUCUAAAAAUGUCUUUGGAUUUGAAGUUGAGAUGGAUUAAGAAAAGAUCAACCAGUUGGUCCACGGUUGGUUUGAUAGACCAAAUCCAGACAAUUUAUCUGUAAGGACAAUUAUUUGCCACAUAUUAAUUAUUAAAAUAAAGACAAAAGAAAAACAAAAUCAGUUUCAAAGGUGCAUGUGAGUAAGGCUCGCAAUUCAGCUCGCUGCUCGCAAAUCGGCUCGUGUUCAGUUCGAAAUAAGCUCGAGAUCUAGUCGCUUAUUUAGUAAACGAGUCGAAUACGAGCUGAACUUUUUAGUUCAUUUAAUAAAUAAGUCAAACACGAGCUAAAUUCAACUCACUCGUGUUCGGCUCGAUAACAGCUCAAAUAUAUAUAUAUAUAUAUAUUAGUAUAUAAUAUAAUAUAUAUAUAUAUAUAAUAUAAUUACAUAUUAUAUAUAUUAUAUAUUUAUAUUAAUUUUUAGCCAAAAAAAAAUAAAGUCAAGCUCAAAAUUAUAAAAAAUUAAUAUAUAUAAAUAAAUAAUUGUAUAUUAAUAUAAUACUUUAUUAUUUAAUUUUUAGCCAAAAAAAAAAAGUCAAGCUCAAUUAUAAAAAAACUUAUUUAUAUGUAAAGUUUCAAGCAUUAGAUUAAAGUCUAACGGGUAAGAUUUUAUAAAUUUAUUUUUUGUCUAUAUCUAAUCUAAUCUAUUUAACUUAUUAUUCGUUGGUCAGCUCGUGAUCAGUUAGUUCGUGUUCGGUUCGUUUAUUAACGAGAACACGAGUUAAAUUUUUCGGUUCGAUACUUUAACAAGUCAGUUCGUGUUUUGCUAGUUUAGUCCCAGUUCGCUCGUGUUCGGCACUUUGACACCCCUAGUCGCUAGUUAGAUGAACCACAUUAUGGGACAGUAGUUUUAGGUGCCCAAAGACUAGCGUACAAAUUUUUCACUUGAUAUUUUUAAAAAUUGUUUAAGCAAAUCGGCCGUUGCAGUGCCGGUGCUGAUAUGAUCUUCGCAUUUCAGGUGGAGGCAGGAAGGUGACGAGGGUGGAAGUCACGCUGGAUGGCGGCGAGUCGUGGCACGUCUGCUCCCUCGACCGCCCGGAGAAGCCGAACAAGUACGGCAAGUACUGGUGCUGGUGCUUCUGGUCCGUGGAAGUCGAGGUGUUAGACCUCCUCGGCGCGAAGGAGAUCGCCGUCCGCGCGUGGGACGAGUCCCUCAACACCCAGCCGGAGAAGCUCAUCUGGAACGUCAUGGUAAACACCAAGCAACCGGAUGCAUACAAUUUUUUAACUUUUGGAACAAAUUUUCUAUUACAUAGCUUCUUUUUUUCUUUUUUAAAUCAACAAAAGAGUAACUAUAGCAACGUGUACACUUUUUUUUCUAGGUAAAACUGUUUAGAAUUAUCUAUAACUUUUCAAAAUUUUAAUCUUACUAUAAACCAUUCAAUAUAUUUUAUUUGAGUCAGCUAACGACAUUUAAUUCCAAAACUUAAAUUGGUUGCUUAUUUUAAUAAACAUAUUGUUGUGAGGAUUAUGUAAAAUAUACUAAUUAAAUGUACAAAAAUAAAAAUUAUAUUUAAAAUUUGAAAUUUAAAUAUUAUUAGCCGACUGAAAUCAAAUCAAAUCAAAUCAAAUCAAAUUAGAAGAUUAAAUAAUAAAAUAAAAUGAAUUAAAAAAUUAGAGAUUAAAUUCAAAUGAUUCAUAGUUGGGAAUUAGUUCCAUUUAAGUACCGAAAUCAAACACCUGAUAUGCGCUACAUUAUCGUGCAUCCAUGCAGGGCAUGAUGAACAACUGCUGGUUCAAGGUGCGGGUGAACGUGUGCAAGCCGCACAGGGGCGAGAUCGGGCUAGUGUUCGAGCACCCGACGCAGCCGGGCAACCUCGCCGGCGGCUGGAUGGCGCGGCAGAAGCACAUGGAGUCCUCGGAGGGCGCCCAGCCGGCCCUCAAGAAGAGCACCUCCACCCCCUUCAUGAACACCGUCACGAAGCAGUUUUCCAUGUCCGAGGUGCGCCGCCACUCGACCCCCGACUCCGCGUGGAUCGUCGUCCACGACCACGUCUACGACUGCACCGCCUUCCUCAAGGACCACCCCGGCGGCGCCGACAGCAUCCUCAUCAACGCCGGCACCGACUGCACCGAGGAGUUCGACUCCAUCCACUCCGACAAGGCCAAGAAGCUGCUCGACACGUACCGCAUCGGCGAGCUCGUCACCACCGGCUACACCUCCGACGCCUCCGUCCACGGCGCCUCCAACUUCUCCCACCUCGCCACCAUCCGCGAGGCCACCGCAACGCGCGCCCCCGCGGUGGCUCUCUCCAACCCCCGCGAGAAGGUGCAGUGCACGCUCGUCUCGAAGACCGUCGUCUCGCACGACGUCCGCCUCUUCCGCUUCGCGCUUCCAUUUUCGGAUCAGUCAUUCGGAUUGCCAGUUGGUAAGCACAUUUUUCUUUCGGCCAACAUCGACGGCAAGUGGACCAUCUGGCCGCACUACGGGCUUGGGGGGCGCUAGUAGCGGUCGGCGGAGCGCUUGGCGGCGAACGGCAACUAGUUCUUCAACGGCGCGGGCCACAUGAGCUACACGGGGUUGCCAGGAAAUUAUAGAUAAAAACUCGGCUCGCCCUCUCUAAGCUCCACGACGCAGUACUCGGGCGGCAAGCCCUUAAAGCCCAAGUGCGGGAACUUCAUCUAGAACUGUUCCUCCAGCUUCACGGGCUAGAGCAGCUACCCCGAGCACCCGCACAUGCGGGAGUACGUGCCNGCGGCAACUUCUUGAUCAACGGCAAGCGGCGGUUCGCGAGGCGGCUGGCGAUGAUCGCGGGGGGUUCGGGCAUCACGCCGGUCUACCAGGUGAUACAGGCGGUGCUGCGGGACCAGCCGGAGGACCGGACGGAGAUGCACCUGGUGUACGCGAACCGGACGGAGGACGACAUCCUGCUGCGAGACGAGCUCGACCGGUGGGCGCGGGAGCACCCGGACCGGCUCAAGGUGUGGUACGUCGUGGGCGAAGUGCUGCGGCCGGAGGCAGGGUGGCCGUACAGCGUGGGGUUCGUGACGGAGCAGGUGCUGCGGGAGCACGUGCCGCUGGGCGGCGACGACGAGACGCUCGCGCUCGUGUGCGGGCCGCCGCCGAUGAUCCAGUUCGCCGUGCGCCCCAACCUGGAGAAAAUGAAGUAUGACCUUGAAAACUCGUGCCUCAUUUUCUAAGUGGAAGCACGGAGAUCUCCGUGCACGUACAGGUCUGGUUCCUAAGAGCAAAAUUGCGUACAUGUAUUCUUGUGAAGUUGGUAUUUGCGUAUAAAUAUUAAUAUUUUUUUUUUGAUUAUAUCAACUAUGUAUACGUCGGAUACCAACUUUUCAUGAAUAUAUUUACACAAUUUGAUAUGCUUGUAAGGGAUUAUGUGCCAAAAAAAAAAAAGGAAAAAGAAAAAAAGGGAUGUAUAUAUGUCGUCGAUUUGUUGCUAUCCUAGCAUUCUUUGAUCAAUAAGGAGGGAGGUGACAUUGGGAUUAAUAUUAGGUGUGAGUUUACGGCUCGUCCAAGUGAUCAGAUCGAGCUGAUCAAUUCAGCCGUGCAUGUUUAGGUCUUCUCGUAGAGGCUCGAUGUAUAAAUUGAUCAACUGAACGGUCCACAGUUUGAGACCAUGAUUUUGGUCUCUUUGGUCGCUUGUAAUUUGUAUGAUCUAUUAGUAUAUGACUAUAUGUAAGCUAGUUGUUACUUUGUAUCUUUUGGUAUGCAACUCUUUAAACUAGUCCUAUCAUUUUUUUUUUUUAAUAUUCAAAAUUUUAAAUGAUUGUAUAAUUUCUUGGAGGGUGACAAUGUAAGAUAUAUGUUCAGAAAUUAAGUGUUCAAGUAGCUUUUGCCUUUAAUUAAUAUAUUUGUUAAACUCUUUUAUCUUAGAAUUUGUUUGGCAUUAAUUAAGGGAUCCCCCUCUUUUAGAAAAAUAAUUUUAGUAGGGAGCUCUCGGAUUUGCUGUCUCCGAUUUGCUGUUUUAGUUUUGUCUCUAUCCAAAUAUUAUAAUUAUUUUCUCUUGAACUUUUAUUUUUAAAUUUUAGUGUCAGAAACAUACAACGAAUUCAUAAGUUAAGAUAAAAUUAAUACAUAGCAGCGAAUUAAGAGCUCCUUCCCUUCUCAUGUUUUAUCCGUCUUUCCAUAUUGGGCAAAAAGCAGCCAAAGCAUUUCAAUGACUAAUUUGGAGAAAAUAAAAGGAAAGGAAGAUCACCAAAGCACAAGAGUCUUUCCUUUUCUUUUUUCUCUUUUCCUUUUCUUAAUUUAGGAUUAUUUUAUGACCUCGGAAUCUUUGAAACGCAGUAAGGAGAUAGGUUUUUUUUUUUUUUUUUUUUUUUUUUUUUUGAGAGAGAGAGAGAGAGAUAGGUAUCCGUUUCUUUUAUUUCAUUUAGAAAUAAAUUUAGCUAGAAAUGUGAAUCAACAAAGAUUCAAAUUUGAGUCUUGGAUACCAACCACCAAGUCCUUUGGCACUUGCUCUAAGGAGAUGAGUUUUUAAGUUAGUAAAAAAACAUCUCUUGGAAAAGCAAAGCGUUUUCUACGCUUAAUUUGGAAUGAGAAAUGCUUAAAUUAAUCUACCCAGACUAAUAAUCGCUACAAUCUUUUAUUUAGACCUGUCUUAGGAGAGAUACAGCAAUAAAUUAAUAGAAGAAUUUUUUUUGGCUUUUUUUGCACUUAGAAGCAAAUUGAAAGAUAGAGAGGGCGGACAGAUCAGAAGAGGGGGGACGGACUGUGCGAGAAUUAAAAAGAGUACAUGACACGUAACCCCUAUGAGAACUCAGCAAAUCUAGACCGAUCUAGAGGGGGAAGGAGGCGGGGCGGGUGGCACGUGAGUCCGCUUAGCCCGGGUGAAAGGAUCGGGGAGAGGGGGAAUGGACAGCACGAGAAAAGGAGAACGCGACACGUAACCCCUUUGAGAACUAAACUUUUAAAUUUUUUUUUAGAUCUAUAGAUGUAUAUUUUACUGGUGGUUACAUACGGAUCACAUAGGAGCUGUAUGUUUGUCCAGUAGUGAAUUUCAGAUUGAAAAUAACUUUUACUAAAACUAAAGUUUGGGUGAAAAUAUUUUUCCACUAUUGUUUUUUGAUAGAAAGUUAGGCUUAAUUUGGUAUUACGGCCCAUCUAAUGUUAUUAGAUAAAAUAACAUUGGGGUAAAAAGUAAAAACAUAUAGAGAUAUGUUUCUGCGUUCUCCUAUGGAAUCGAAGAAAUUAUAUAUCGUAACCAACUUAUCGCGAUAUACGGAACGUAAUACUAUGUACGGAAACAAACAUCGUAUUUUUUCAAUAUACUUUCUGACCGUACGCAAACACAAUUUUCCUGCAAUUCCAAACGAAGCCUUAGUGAUUUUGAAACUAUAAAUAUUCUUUUUUUAAUUUACAUAAUUGAUAGAAAGUUAGUGAUUUUGAAACUAUAAAUAUAUUUUUUUUGUUUAUUUUAUGUAAGAAUAUAUAAAACUUAUUCCAAUUACCCCUAUUUUAAUCUGACUAUUUAACCUUCAAAAAUUUUAAUUUUGCUACAUAUUUUUUUAAUUUAUUUGAUUUAAGCCGGUUAAUAACUUUAACUUUAAAAUUUGAGUAUAUUGUUUAUCUUUACAUAUUCAAUCUAUAUAUUUUAUGCAAAUUCAUAUAAAUAUAAAUUUAUUAAAGUAACAAUGAUCUUAAUUUUUGUAUUAAAAAAAUCUUCAAAUAACUUAAAUCAAACAAAUUGAAAAGCUCGCUACUAAAAUUGAAAGUUUGAAAGGUUUGAUAGCCAAAUCACAAUGAUCUAUAAUUCAUGUAUGUUAUAUAUAAUUUUGCUUUUAUUUUAUUAGAAAAAUUCAUACUAGCAUAUAAAAAGGCGAAAACUUUAUAACAGUAAAUUAUUAUUAUUUUUCUAUAUUUUUCUCUUCCGCGAUUUACUUUAGCACUACCCACGGCGAAGUAAGUUCAACGUCUUGCAUAAGUGGAGUUACAGACAAACUUAAUUUUAUGGCAAACCAAUAACGAAAAUGGGCAUUUACGGUCAAAAACAAUUUCACAUUUUUGUUGAAACUGUGUUUGGUUAAGUUGAGUAUUUACGGCCAAAAAUAACUUCACAUUUUAUGAGAAUGGAAAAUUAACAAAAAUUAAAUUCACCUUUUUAUAAUAAAUUAUUUUUACUAAAUUAUAUUUUAUAUUAAAUUCAACCACCACCUUUUUUUCGUUUUCCUCCACUAUCUCAUAAGAAACGUACUAAACCCAUUUGUGGCCCAUAAAAUGUGGCCCAACUCAAAUUUUGUAGCAUAUGAAUUUCAUACCAAAGUGGCCCAUUAGAAGCCUAAGUUUUGGAGAAAGAUAUUUACAUCUGGGCCUGGGCCCAUCACACCGCGCACCCGAAUCUUACAGCGCACGACUCGAAAGAUUUCCCAAACCAUAGUCAACGAGUCAACCGCUUAAGCCACCCAAAAAUCCAAAAGAUGCAUUUGUAAUGAAAUAAUAUAUAAAAUAAUAAAUAAAUAUUUUAUUUUUUUAAAUAAUUUAAUAUUUAAAAUAAAGAGUCAAAAGUAGUAAUUUUGCUUUUCCAAAGUGACAUUUUUUAUUUUCCAAAUUGUGAGGAAUAAAAUGAAAAGUAUGGAGCGUAGAAUGAGCGGAAAUAAUAGAUGAGAAUGAGUAGUAAAGUGCCGUGCGGAGAAUAAGACAAAAAAAAUAAAUAACUGAAAUGAUAUAUUCCAAUUAAAAUAUAUUAUUUUUGUCAAAUUUAAUUGUGUUUGGCCUGUUAUUUUAUUAUUAAGACUUAACAUAUAGAAAUAUAUUUCUGUAUUUUCUGGUGAAAUUUUAAAAAAUUUAUCAUAACCGACUCAUCGUAAUAUGCAUAACAUAAUAUUACGUACGGAAACAAACAGAUAUUUUACCACCGUACAUUCUCACCGCACGUAAUGUAAUUUUAUCGCAAUUUCAAACGAAAUCUAAGCACAGUCAAAAAUAAAUUGUAUAGACAUUCUUCAUUUAUGGUAUCUUUUGAAAUAGCCGCAUAAACUUUUUUUGUUUCUUUGACGUCGGGUUUUCACAUUUUAAAUAAGUAAAAAAAAAUUAUCAAACUAUUUAGUGAUGUAAAUUUAAAUUAUUAAUAUAUAUUUUUUUACUAACAAGAGUAGCUGAAUGAAUAAGUUAGAAAUCAAAAAAGUGUCUAAAAGAAGAAAAAAAAAAUUAAGUUGAAGACAGUAUUUGACACUUUCUUAUAGUUGAGGGGGUCUUCUUACAUUUUUACCAAAACCUAAAUCCCAUUCGGUGUCCAUUCGAAACCCUCGUUCCCGCCCAUUCUCCCUCUCCCUCCCUCCCCCUUCUUCUUCUUCUUCUUCUUCCUCCAAACCCUCCUCCGUUCUCCCCUACAAAACCCCCAAUUUGAGAGACCGUUACCGCAUCGGGAAGAAGCUGGGGCAGGGCCAGUUCGGGACGACGUACCUCUGCGUCGACAAAUCCGAUGGCGCCGAGUACGCGUGCAAAUCCAUCCCCAAGCGCAAGCUCCUGUGCCGCGAGGACUACGAGGACGUGUGGCGCGAGAUCCAAAUCAUGCACCAUUUGUCCGAGCACCCCAACGUGGUGCGCAUCAGGGGCGCCUACGAGGACGCCCUGUUCGUGCACCUCGUCAUGGAGCUGUGCGCCGGUGGGGAGCUCUUCGACCGGAUCAUACAGAAGGGCCACUACAGCGAGCGCAAGGCGGCGCAUCUCAUCCGCACCANCAGAGUGGGUGGCGGAGCUUCUCGGUGUUUAUGGGCUUUUGCUCGAGUGCUUGGCGUGCAUCGGCCCGUGCCUCGCGGGGAAGCCCUACUCGGUGCACCUCCAGAGGGGACAGUUCGUUUGCUGCUUGGAAGGUCAGGGAAGGUAUGCAGAGGCCGAGGAGGAGGCGCUAUCUCUUCUUGAGAGCCUUCGAUCGGCGCUGAUCCCAGCUGCUUCAGCACCGAGGUCGCAGAAGGGGAGAAGCGCCGACGCCAGAUGCCUAUUGCCUGAUCCGAAGCUCGCAGGUUGUGAUGAUCCAGAGGUCACAAUUUUGGCCAUCCAGAUUAUCAUCAGCCUUGCUAACUGUUCUUCUAAAUACAAAACAAAGGAUGGAGCUGCUUUUGAGAGGAUCUUGGCCCUUGUUGAGCAAGUUCAGCCAUGGCUCCCGUAAGUGAAUGAUCUGGGCUGAUUCCGACACAUGGACCCUAAAAUUUCAGCACUGAUGUUAAUUUUGUCCAUAUAUGCAGGUUUCUGGAUCCUGAGUCGCUGAAGAAAUAUCAUUGGUUACUUGUGAAUGCCUUGUACAGAUGUUCAAAUUUCCUGGUUGUAGAAUGUAUGUCUUUUGACACGGAUUUGGUACAGCGGUUCUGUAUGUUCAUGUUGAGAGAGUGUGCGAAGCCCUCUUCAAUCGACCGUUUUCCGAUAGUUAGUACACUAGCUAAAUUUUUGUUUUUGUAAAGUUAUUCUAAGUAAAUAAAUUGGAUGGGAUGUAAGUCUUUGGCAUGUGAAUUGCAGAUUGCUCGCAAAAUUAGUUCUUCCAUCGACUUGCAUUGGGAAGGCAGAUCCUGUCUUAUGUUCGAUAUACUAAAUUUGGCCCUUGAGUCAAUAAAAUGUGGCUGCAAGGUAAUUUCCAUUUUGAAUAUAGUUGCUGACACUUUCAAUUUUCUUUGGUCAGUAAUUAUCACAACCUGAACUACAAAUUCUUCAUGCAUAACUUGAUUUUCGUGGCAAAAAAGAUGUUGGUAUUUACAAGUGUAUGAUAAAUUAUUGAUAUUAGUUGAGACAUGAAGGGCAUUUGAUGCAACACCUGUUUUUAUUUUCUAGUUUUGAUUUUGAAAUUCGUAAUGUGGUGAAGAAAGCUGAAAAUGAGUUUUGAAGCAUAGCAUGUUGACCGUAUGUGUUUGAUCUUACGAGACACCUAAUAAGUUCUGUUUUUUUCUUUUUGUUUUGUCUGUUGUGCAUAGUAGAAAUUGUGUCAUAUUAUUUGUCUUAAAGUGUCUGAGAUGUGUUGCUCCUGUAGGUGUGUUUUUUAUAUUUAAACUGACUCGCAGUUUUGUUUUCAUGCAUUUUGUGUAUGAGCAGGUUUGUGUGUCGAAAUCUGUAAAUGAGUUACUCGAUUUUGUAUUGUAUUCUGCUGACAGCCUCUGUGCUGCCAACAUGGAUGCCCUUACAGGUUUUUCGGAAUUAUUUUAUGAAAAAGGAGGUGAUUUCUUUGAGGUACAUUUAUAUUGGCGCUUUUAUAGAAAGUGAUACCUUGCCGUUUAUAAUCUCUUUCUGAUGAAUUGUUUAUUUUUCUUGUCAGGUUUCACCUCCUAUUGCCUCAAUUCUGAUUCUCUAUGCUACUGCCUUGUACUUCGUAUCUAAUAAUAUUCAAGUUAAGCAAGCCGGAGAUAAUUUUGAAUUAUCUUCUGAGGGUACUACAAAUACAACUUUGCUUGACAAUGUAGAAAAUCUUCAGAAGUUGACUGAUUCACUGGGCAGUUUAGCAAGAUAUUUUCACGUCGCUAGCGACAGGACUGAUAUUGCUUUUGGUGAUCCAUUAGAGGCACAGAAUGAAUCAACCAUGCUUCUGAAGUCCAAUAUCCACACAGAGUGUAAAUACUUGCAUGGAAGUGCUUCUUUUAUCUCGUAUUUAGAUGCUUUAGAGUUUUUAUGCAAGAUAUUAUAUCAAUAUGCAAACACAGCCUGGAAAUACUUGUCCGAGAAGAAAAUGAUCUGUCAUUUUGUGAAGAUAGACCAUGUUUUGAAUGCAUUACAUCUGUUCUGUGAUUCGAUGAUCCUUGCUUUCAGGUGAGCCUGUAUCAUAGACCGUUGUUUGCUGCAACUACUGAAUUCUGAAAUUCUUUAAACAAGUGCCAGAACAAGACUUACGAGUUUCAAUGUCUGUUUCCCUAAUUGUAUAGAAGCAUCAAGACAUCUGAAAAGGAUAAAGAGAGGCUACAGGAAAGACGUGGAACAUUACUUGAAGUGGCCAUUUCAGCAUUCAGAAUCUCUUUUCUCACCACUGGAAACUAUCAGGUUUAACCUUGUAUAAUCGGUCUUGUACUUUGGUUAUUGUGGUAUUACAAAGAAGAUUGUUUUUAACUUUGUUUUGAGCAAAACUGCUGUGACUUAUUUUUUUUCUGGCUAAUUUAUUCUGUUUUCGUAGUUCAGAAGAGUCUGUCCUCCAUUAAUUACGCCAUAUCAAGUGAAUGGAUUAAACCUCAGGAGCUGAGAUUUCUUAUUUCAGCACUCAAUAAUAUUGGGGCUUCGUUGUACAAUAUUGGGCAUUUCAAACAGGUAUAUAUGUUGUUAGUGUUGAUCAACUUUGUUGAACCUUGGAUCCCUAUUUUUCUGUGUUCCUUAGAUUUCUGUUUGACAUUAUUGUUGACACUGUUGCAGUAUUGUCAUGAAAUUUUCUCUUUAUUUAUAUGCAACUUUAAGGCACCUAAUAUAUUUGGUCAGGAUUUCUAAGUAGCAAGAGACAAGGUAAACAUGCCUUGAAACUAGCUCCAUGUCAGCUACAUCGAGUAGUGCUUAAUUACCAGAUAGGGUACGGUGGCGAAUGGCGAUGCAUUAAUAAUGGCUAGGUAAAUGACUAUUUAAAACGUUGUGAUCUUAUUCUGAGAAAAUGCUGGAUAUACUGUUAACAUAUUUUUCAAUAUUUCUGAGUUCUUCCUAUGUUGUAUGCAAUGAUCUUAUUCCAGAUUUGGCUUGUGUUAGUUUAUUGUUGUCAAUCGAUUGGAGGGAAUGAUUCAACUGAACGGUGGUAUGCAAUGAUCUUCUACCAGAUUUGGCUAUUGUUGGAUUGUAUAAUUUGAGUGACAAAUUAAGUAAAACUCUUAUCUUUGCAAAUUCUGCCUUUUUUGCCUCUAAUUUUGUGUUCUUUUGUAGCCAAUGGGCAACAAGAUAAAACUCAUACAUAAUCAUGUGGUUGUAAGAAGAUGGUUUUGGUUUUUCUUCUACUUCUUUUAGUUGAUUGUGAUAGAAAUGACCUGUUUUGCAUUUGUGAAAUCUGGCCUGCUUAAUCAUUUGAGCUCUCUAUCUGCAAAAUUUUGCAUGUUUUAUGUUUUAGGUGGCAGUAAUGUUAUCUAAUUGCCAUUGUCAUUUCAUUCAGGUACCAAUAGUAUUGCAGUUGUGUUGUCAAGCAAUAUGGGCAAAUGUCAAUCUAGUCUGCAGAAGAUACUCGGACAAGCUGCGGGGGUUUAAUGUUGAUUGUAUAUCUAAGGAUUCGGUAAAGGAUGUCAUUAAUGAUGCAUUCACAAGGAUUGCAACAAUAGUUGAUACUCUACACAGAUGUGGUGCCACCGACACGAAUGAAACUGUUGUAAAAAGCUUAUUUCAACUGUCAGCCACUGAAGGCAUAUUUGAAAAUCUAAAUGGCUCUUUGGUCUUGGUUAAACAAUGGGUUAAGGUACUAAUCUAAAAAUAAUGAAAUUUAUUUGAUGUACAUGGAAGGUCUUUAUUCUACCUAAUCUUUCUUGAAACUGCAGAUAAUGUGUAAAGAUUUUGAAGGUGUUGACAUGGUAGAUAAUGCUGAAGUUCUCUACUCCUCACUAUUGAGAUACUGUCCAAAAUGCCCAAAGAAGAUUGCAGGCAAGAUUCUUGAGCAGGUUCGAUCUCUUCUCAUCAAAUUUCAUGGCAGUUACUAUCAAUUACUCCUUUUUUUCAUAGAUAUAAUGUUGUAUGAAAUUGUCUUAAUUUUUGCAGGAGCUUCUUGCAUAUGACAUGAUGGAAGUUCGAAACCCAGUUCUUUGUAAACAGAUGAAACUAAAAGUUGUGGAUAUUCUCUUAAAUGUUAUGUAUGUGUCAAGAGAUUGUUAUUUGGGAAGAUCAAGGGUACUUGUUAGAAAGGCGAAAGUACUUCGAGCUUGCGGAAUAGAGAGCAUAAAUGGCUCUCUGAAAUGUCUCUCUGAAGCCAUUUGUUUACUUGUAAGCUUGUAAUUUGUUUACCUUCAAGAUGUUGCUUAUCUUCCUUUUUCUUCUAUGUGGCAUAACCUUGGUAACAAAGUUAGAUAGUUGACAUAUAGUUCUGAUGUAACAGAAAGACAUAUCAUUAGAUUCUUCUGGAGGUAAUGCUACUGUACAUCAUCAGUUGGCCAUCGCAUACUGCUUGCAUGCACAAUGUGCCCAGGAAGCCAAUCUCGACUGUAAGGUAGCAUGUGAAGGGCUAUUAUAUAUGAGGUUAAGAAGAUAUUUUGAUCCUUAGCUGUUGUGUAGGAAUAAGAAAACUUUCAGAUUUGGGCAUUCUUUCAAUAUUUCUGAAAUUUUUGGUUGUGAAACAGGUUAUCCUGCAAGAUGUUCAAGCCGCAUUAAAUUUGUGGCUAAGCAUUGACAUCCAGGAUUUUUGUUGUAUAGAUGGAAAUUUUGAAAUGACAGCUGAAAAUAUGACACCGUUAUUGUGUUCCAUAGCUGAUUUGUUAGCCAUGAAGGUGAGACUUGCAGACCACGCAACUGGUAAACUCUGUCUAUGUAGUAUACACGGUAGUGUAGUGCCUAUGCGAUGUAAUAUACUUACUUUGCGUGCAUCACCCAGGGAUGCUUGGAGUUUCAGUUUGACAUCUGCAAGCUACUGAUCAUGAUAUGGAAUCGCGCGGAUAUUGCUCUUGAAAGAUUUUUUGCCUUGCUAUGGAAUGAUAGGCGUCUUAAUCAUUCGUUUUGUACCAUUCCAAUGGAUGGACAGUUCAUUUUGAAUAUGUCAAAACACUUCGGUGUUAAUGCUAGCUCUGUUGAUUAUUGGAUUAGUUGUGUAAAAGGUAAUCAGGCUUCACUAUGUAUGUUUCAUCAGAAGGUGUCACUGACUGAUUCAGUUUUUCCUGAAUUAAGUGAUCAUGGUUUUCAAACGUCAUUUGCUCAUAAAGUCAGUGCUGAUGAAGUUAAAAGGGUUGCAUCUUCUCUUGUUUCUGCUGUAAGUUCUGUUUGAAAAAUCAAAGGAAAAUUCGUAGCCCUUGAUCUCAACAAUGUCAGAAUUUUCACAUUUUAAUCCUCCUGUUUUGGAUGUUGUAGGUUCCUUUGUCAAGUCAAUCAACUUUCCUUGCUGGAUAUCUGUAUUAUGAUUUGGCUGAAAGGCUUCUGUUAAAGGGAAGAUAUUUUGAGGUAAGAUACUAUUACACUCCAAAUGAUAUUACUCAUGCAGCUAGGAAUAAACUUCCCUUUGGAUGAAUUGCAUUUUAAGCGUUCCAUCAAUUAUGACUACAGAUCACUGUCAGAAGUUAGCCAUUAAAACAAAUAUCUUUUUCGUGAAACGAAAGAACCAACUACGACUUGCAUGUAAAAUGCUAGUAUCAAUUGAUUCUGGUAUUCCUGCCAAGCUGAUUCUUUGCUCCAAACUAUUAUCCAAACCAAGCUGCACACCGUAAUUAUUGUUUUUGGAAUAUCAAGUUAUACUUUGCAGAAUAGUUAUGGUUGUUCAUUAUUAAUUAUGGUUAUUAUGGAAUAUUUUUAUUGUUUAGGCUCUUUGCCUUUCAAGAGAGGCUCUUCAGUUGCGAAAGAGACUUCUAAAAAGGAAGUUCAUCUACUACUUUAGGCGGCAGCAGCAGCAGCAGCAACCACAACAGCCUGUAAGUGCUGAAAAAGAAAAUCAGACAACACCAGACCUUGUUCACCUUGAAGCGAUGGAAUCAGUUGCAACUGAAACUUGGCCAGAUCAUUGUAGGUCCGGAAACAUAGAGGACUCCUUCCUUACUCCAUGGGCUGUUCUUAGAUGCUACCUUGAAAGCAUUUUGCAGGUUUAUAUUUGUAUUUUCUUGAAUAAAAUAAGUACAAGUCGUUGAUAAUUCAUUAUGCCUGAUAUCUUAAUACUUAGGUGGGGAUUAUUCAUGAAUCAACUGGUGAUGCUGCUGAAGCUGAAAUACUUUUCCGGACAGGAAAAGAGUUGUCCCAUCAGCAAAGUCUACCUACUUUUGGGAUUGCUUUUUCAUCAUUAUUAGGUAAAUUCUCUAAAUGCGUAUUCCUACCUUUCUCUCAUUUAGUCAAUUUUGCAUUUCUUUUUGUCCUAUAUGUAUUAGCACUAAACUAAUCUUGAUGCUGUCUCAGGUCAAUUGUACCGUAAGAAACACUUAUGGGAGUUAGCAGAAAGUGAGCUCAGUAAUGCUAAAAAGCUUCUAGCAGAAUAUGAUACGAUUAUUUCCUGCAAGAACUGUAAGCUGACCCUUGAGGUUGCAAUUCAUAUCCAAACUGGAGAUUUAUCUAGAAACCUCUUUGAGAAAGGAAUUAAAUCUGUCAGUGGCCUAUCAAAUGCUAUAAGCAUGUAUAGAUCAGCUCUAGAGAAAAUUAGUAAUGCUGAAUUACAACGCCCUUGUAACUUCUGGGAUACAUCUGAACUCAACACUCUCUUGGUUAACACAGAUCAUGCUGUAGAAGCCAAAGGCGGAGCUCGACAAUGUGGUACAGCACCCUCAUUCAUUAAGGAAGUAAGGUCAUGUAUAUGCAGCAUCUGUCUUUCUUUACACCAGCGUUCCAGUGUCGACCGUCCUAGAUGUUUGCAGGCAGAGUAUAACAAACAAUCCUUCUCGAAUCCUGGAGCUGGAGAGUCGCUUGUGAAUAGUAAAGCCAAAAAAAUGUCAAGAAAUGCAUCAAAGGGUAUAUUGAAGGUGGAAAAAGCAGUGGCUGAAGCAAAAACAAUAAGAACUCGUUCUCGUAAACUGCUUGAACACAAAAAACAUGAAAAUGUUGCAGGUGAAGUGGAUUGUAAUUAUGACACAACUGUGAGUCAUGACCUCUGUGCUGAUUCUCUUAGUGCUAAAUGUUUAGAGAAGAAACUAAACACAAGCCGCCUAGAGGAUGAAUGCAAUAGAGAUGAUGAAUGUGACAAAGUAGGAUGUUGGAGCUGUUUUCUUAUUAAAGCACUAAAUGCCGGGCCUUUGGAAACCAUUUUGUUUCUGAAAUGGGAAUGCCAUCGGAGGCGUAUUCUUCUGAAACUGCUAUUAAAAAUAGGUAUUUAUCUUUCAUCUAGAAAUUCCCAUUAGAAUUAUAUUGUCAUAAUGAUUUAGUUCACUCUGCUGCUGCCAAAUAUCUGAAAGGCUUCUGCUUAUCCAUUCAGAUACUUAAAUUGUUUAUUUCUUGUAUAGCAAGAUCCUUGGGGGCUCAUGGUGGAAAGCAUGGUGCACAUGAAGUACAUGAUGUAUAUUGGCAAUCUAUUUCUCUGUUGUUCUACAGAUCCAUUUCUUGCAACUACUCUGAACUUAUGGGGCCUCGCUUAAUUGAGCUAAUUGCGGGCGAGAAUUUAGGCGAUACUCUUUCUAUUGAGCAUGCAGAGAUACUGUAUAACAUGAGCCUCUUUUCUCUAAAGGGAUGCCUUUCAGAGCAACCUAGGUGAUUAUGUUUCUUUUGUUGUUACUGAAUGUGCUCUGGCUUGUUUUGACUGUAAAAGUAUCACUUUCUAACAAUAGCACCUACUUAUGUUAAUAUACUUAUUCAAUUCACAUUUUCCAUGCACAGGGGCACAUGCUGCUGCCUUUCUAAUAUACAAAUGUCUGAUGUUGUUCCUUGGUUGUUGAGAGCAUUCAUAAUUUCCCAACAGUUCCCCUCACUUCUUCAGAAGGUCUUGAACGCAUUCUACACCUUUUAUUCCGUGCUUAGACAUUGGUAACUGGUUGCAUUGAUGCUGACAGAUACUCUUAGCUUUUUGAAAUAAUUGAAUGAGGCAGCAAGUUUUCAGCCUCCUCUAGUAUUUUUUUUUUUUUUUAUCAGUUAUAUGGAGUUAAGAGUGUGAGUUAAGGUCCAAAUUGUCCUCGUGCAGGUUUGCAGGCUUCUUGCUUCCAUAUAUUUGCUUUCAACAUUGGAUUACUCUACUUCUUUACCCUUGUAUUCUGAGAAAUCCCUCUCUUUGAAUCAUUGGGCUGCGUACUUCCAUCAAGCGUCUCUCGGUACUUUUCUGCAUCACCAUUACUUUUCUAGUUCCAGAGGGGUCUUCAACAAUAAAGCUACUGAGGUUUGUUUCUGUGUCGCCACUUCAGCCCAUUUGUUUGAAAUGUAUUAUUGUUUAUAAUUGUGAAAUUACGGUAGUUGUCUAGUGGGUACUGGUUUUUGUUCAUUCAAUUUCGUACUCAAAAUAGUGCACUAAUUUAAUUUGCCUUUCAUAUUGGUUAUUGUUAUCUGUAUUUUUUUUUACCUUCUCUCUCUUUGUUGGCAUGUUUUUCUAUUCCCCCUUUUUUUUUUUUUUUCAAUUUUACAUUUUUCUCUCUUUUUUCAUAUUUGUUAAUGUUAUCUGAAAAUGUUUUUUGACUGACUGCUCAAUCAUCAAUUUGGUAUCUUAGAUGUAGUUUUUAGUCCUUUGGUCACCAGAGUGCUGUAAAAUUAGCUUCUUUUCUCUCUCUCUCUCUCUCUCUCUCUCUCUCUCUAGCCUGCGCUUGAAAUUCCCUAAUUUUAUGUUUUUUUUUGCCCCUCGUUUUAUCAUUUCCUCUUCUAUGUUUCAGGACUGCCCUCGUAAUAUCAUGGCUGACACAGACAGCAGAACUUUCAAGUUUGUGAGGUUAAUUUCCUAUCUUACCUAGUAGCAAAUUUAGUGCUCGAAUAUUUUUGAUUUAGCAUAAUUGCAGUGCUAUCUUUCCAAUGCAGAUGUUCAGUAGAGAAACUCGAACAUCUCGAAGAGCAUAUAACUGACUUUUUUAGGAGCCUCCCGAAAGUUCCUAUCAUUUGCAUCAGCAUGCUUGGAGAUGAUUAUGUUAAUCUCCUAGGAGAAACUCUCCUUCUCCCUUCGUUCUUUCCGGCUUGGCUUUUGCUGUCAAGAUUGGAUUCAACUAGCCAACCAAUCAAUAUGCUUCUGCCUGUAGACACAAUUUCAGUAGGUAAACCGACUUCUUGCGAAGCAAAUAUAUGGUCAGUGAAAAAAAAAUACUAUGUAGUUUCAGCAUUCUAUUUCUUACUAUAGUGUCCUCUUGUCAGAGCUGCAAAUUGAAGAUGCUAUUUCUGGCAAAGAAUUCAUCAAUACAAGCAUGGUCUCUGUUAAGAGCUGGAAGUGCCCUUGGAGUUAUACUGUUCUGGAUUAUGUAGCCCCCUCUUUUAAACAGCUAUUGGAAGAGAACUUUGUAUCUCUAUCUAGCACAGCUCUUUCUCCAACUGAUGGACAAUUGGACCUCGUCAAGUGGUGGUCACAGAGAACCAAGCUCAAUAAUUGUCUAGAUAAGUUGUUGAAGUGAGUGCUUCUGGAUUUUAGUAGUUGCUGUAGAAAUUUCCUCAUGUUAUUCCAUUUGUCUUUUUUUGGUUUUAUUUGGUUUAAGAACAUUGUGAGAAAGCAUGUAGAUGAACUAAACAAUUAAGACGUGAGGUUUUAUCGGUGUAGGUUUUGUUGGUGCUGUAUGUUCUAAUCUUGAGUUACUCUUCAUUUCAAUUGCAAAGUUAACAACAUUUGUUGUGUUAUUGAGAUGAUAGAAUUUGUUUUUUGUACUACUUGAAUUCAAUUAUCUUUUCCUCAUGCAGAAUCAUGGAGGAAUCAUGGUUGGGACCUUGGGGUUGCUUGUUUUUGGGUGACCAUUCAGCUCAUCAACAGAUGGACAUGAUGGUAUUCAAGUUAAUCGAUUAUCUAAAAUCUCAAUUCGAGUUUGAAGUUAAUCAUAGUCUUGUGAAAGCUAUCCUAUGUGGUGCCAAGUCAGUAGCAGAUGCGGAAGCAUGCAUUUCUCAACUUGUAUUAUAUAAAGGCUACUUUGGUAGGGGAGCAUGUUGUGGGGAGGAAAGACUUAGGGCUUUCUCUGCAGCUUGCCAGAUAGAAGCCGAUUUGUUAGACUCAAUACUUAAGUUACUCAAAGAAGCAAUCAACGGGCAGGUAGUACCAAUAGAUAGAGAACCAGUGAUUCUUGUACUGGAUACUGAUGUGCAGGUGAGCCAUUCAAAGUUCUUAUCUUCCGAAGGCAUUAUUUGUCUGUUGUAAAAUUUUCUUUACAUGUGACUUAUUUUGCUUUCCUUCCUGGUGUUUCUUUUUUUUUCCUGAUUGUUUGUUCUUGAGAAAAAGCAUAAAACCCUAAAAUUGCUGACAAACAGUGAAGUUUCAUAAGUGUUAUAUAUAGGAAUAAUAAGAUUUUUCCUCUAGUGGAAUUGACUGAGCAUUUUACUACAAUAAGUUUGCAUAGAACAGUUCAUGAUAAUGUGGCCUUUCUACGUUUCUGAACAUAAUUAGAAAAUUGUUCUGUCUUAGACCUACUCCGCUCUUUACCAUCUCUUACAACAGACAGAAAACUUUCACACUCAGGAACCUACUCUUGUACAUUACAAGUCUCAUCUUUUAUUGCUAUAUGGAAAGCUAAUUGUGUUGUGACUUGCUGCAGAUGCUCCCCUGGGAGAAUUUACCAUUGCUAAGGGGUCAAGAGAUCUAUCGCAUGCCAUCAGUAGGAAGUAUUCUUUUGGGAUUCAAUAGAAACCAGCACCUUCAUAAAGAGAGGGAUGCAAUGGGUGCUUACUUUCCUGUUGUUGACCCUUUCAAUGCUUACUACUUGUUGAACCCUAGUGGGGAUCUCAGCAGCACACAAGUGGAAUUUGAGAAGCUGUUCAAAGAUCACAACUGGGAGGUAAAUUUACUCUUAUUUUGUGCAAAUAACAUAAUAAUAAUUGUACAUGUGAUAAGAAAAUUGUUUAUGACUGGCAGGUUCUUUUUUUACUUGCCACCCUCCCACGUAAAUCUGUGGUUAAUAAGUUGUUAUGUAAUCUUUGCAUUAGUUGAUUAGUCAUGUUGCUGUUUGCUUCCAAAAUGAAGCCUAAAUUGUAGCAUUAUAGUGGGUUUGUAAUAGAAGUAUUGUCUUUCUCUUUGGAAAUUUUGUCAUGCAAAGUUUAUGCAGGGGAAAGCUGGAAAUGCUCCAACAACUGAAGAGUUGAUUUUGGCUUUGCGGAAUCAUGACCUUUUCCUUUACUUCGGUCAUGGAAGUGGUAUGUCAUUGGAGAUACAAACUCUCUGUUUUCCAUUAUUUCAGAUAUUGGUGUUAUUUUUGCUAAGAUAUACAACUAAUCUGAAAUUUUUGAUUCAUUAAAUAUGAUGCAGGAAUUCAAUACAUUCCAGGAAAAGAAAUUGAAAAAUUGGACCAAUGUGCAGCUACUCUCCUUAUGGGUUGUAGUAGCGGAACACUCUUCUGCAAAGGGUGCUAUGCUCCUCAAGGUGUCCCUUUGUCCUAUUUAUUUGCUGGAUCUCCUGCUAUCGUCGCAAACUUAUGGGAUGUUUCCGAUAAAGAUAUUGACCGAUUUGGUAAAGCCAUCCUUAAUUCAUGGCUGAAUGACGAAGCAGUAGCUGUUAGCGACUGUUCGAGGUGCUCUGAAUUAGUGAAAGAAUUCGGAUGCAUGAAGAUUGGAGAAGAUAACGAUAAUGCUAGAAAGACAAGAAGGAAAGGGUAUAGAGGGAAGAAGUCUCAGCAAUCACGUGAGAGCAAUAAAUGCCACACUUGUGGGAGAAAGAGGAUAGCUUCAUAUAUGAGCCGGGCACGAGAGGCUUGCAAGCUCCCAUUGUUAAUUGGGGCAUCUCCUGUUUGUUAUGGGGUGCCGACUUUCGUGAGGAAAAAAUCAGAAUGAUUAGCUGCUUUACGGGUAGAUUUUCUUUUUGUUCCUGCAUUUCUCCUAGACUUUCCCUGCUGGUUCAGUUGCUCAUUCAUGAUGAAGCAAUACAGAUAUACCGAUUUACACCAUUCUUAUGACAUCCAAUUCGUACUCAGGAACAUUGCUCAAAUGCUUGUAUUAAGUGAUAUAUAAGAAAGAUAUUGGGAUUCUGAUGUACAAGCUCUUGCAAGUUCCUGAAUUGGACUUUACAUUUUGUUCUAGUUGUGCAUUCGGUUGAAAAACAUCAGCAAUUGUAUUCAUCCUUGUAUGCGAAUUGGAAAAAAAAAAAUAAGUUAAUAUAUUCGAAAUGGUUAUAGUUUGGAGUCCUGUGAUUAGCUUUUGUAUUUAUGUUUGCCCAGGAAUGCAGAUUGUGGACUCGUUUACUUUAAGCUAUCUAGCAAGUCUUAUAUUCUCUCUCUCUAUCUCUCUCUCUCUCUCUCUCUCUGGAUGUGGGAAUUUGCUCACUGAAUUUGCCGUACCUUUUCUGUGUUUCUUUGUAACUCCUUUAUAUCUGCAGAAUUUGUGGAAGACGGCAAUUUCCUUCUGCUGGAAUCAUUUUUUCUUAUUUAUGUCAAGCUAUCUGCUUUCGAGUUAUUACACCUUCCCUCUGAAUUGCAUCAUCGGCAUUCAAUAAUCUUCUAUUAGUUAGAUGUCUUGCAUGCUGGAAGCUCUAGCUGUCUUCGAUAACGUGUUGAUUAUAUUAUGUUAAAAGUGUUCUCAUGGCUGUGGUCGUUAACCAUACAGCUGAUUAUUAGCCAAGUUAUGCAUGACCUGUUCAUCGUAACAGGCAUAGUUAAAAUUUGUCAAUUUUUAUUCUGUUAUUGGAACCCACGUAUAAGGUACGAUUUGUUCGUCAGCUGCCUAUUAGACCUGUAAUUCUUGUGUGGACUGGGUAAAUGAGGCCAAGUCACUAAUGCUAGUUCAUUUCCAUAGUAAAAGUCAAUAAAACUGGUUUCAAACAAUCCCCAAGAUCAUGUUAAGGACUGACGAUAAACUAUAAGAAAAAAAAUUGAAAUGAUUGGUGAGUUAAGCUUCGACAUGGCCUAGUAUAUACUUCUAAUUGCUUAAUAUUUCAAUUUCGAAGUCUCGUUCUAUUCAAAAGAAAUUGACUUUCUGUUAUCGACUCUAUUCAAAAGAAAUUGGAGUUUCUGUUAUUGACGGCAUGAUCUAUAGCGCAUGAAGUCCGUUCCUCCAUCUGCGCCCCUAAUACGACACUAAGACCAUUGUAAUGUGAUUUACAGAAGAACAUGUAAUUCAUGCUAGGUACCGUCGAAUGAACUCGCCAAUUUCAGUUUCGGAGAAUUCUUAACCACUUCCAUACUGUUUAAGUAGAUAUAGAAGCAGCAAUAUCGAAUGCAGGGAUAUCAAGGCACAGCAGGCCAAGAGAUAAUUCAAAAGCUGAGAACAAAAGGACCAAAAAUACAUGCCUGCAUCCAUCAGGCUCAGGUUUUGCGGUUCCUGACCUGCCAUGAAAUUGACGCACUCCACAAACAGAAGGAUUUGAUCAGCCACAAAAGUCGUAGCAUUUUUUUAAACCUAACAUAGCAGCACAUUUAGCAGGAAAACCAAGACUGUCAGAUGCAAAUCGCCAAUACAGCACUCACUUCGCGCCUCCAACAGUUUUUAAGUGCUAGUUAAUCUGAAUAAUUUUCUGAGAAAAACACAGAUCUCAAGUAUCAAGAUCUAACAUGACACUAAAGAGCAGUGUAGUGCAGUGCAAUAAAAAGUCCACACAACAAAAAGGAGCAGCAACAUGUGUGAAAUUUUCUUUUGGCAACUAUGAAACAAAAGAUGCAUUGAUAUAAACCAAUGAGCUCACAGAUAAAAUAAGACCUUUUAAUUCCAUUCUUUACCCAAUGACCACAAAUCAGUAAAUCAAUGGAGAAGCUUAUGAAUAUUUUUCAGUCAUCAGCUAUUAUUAAUCAGCUUGUAUUCCUCCCCCUACUAGCAAACAAGACCAAACCCCUGAAACUCAGCCUACAUGCAUGACCAACCUUCCCCUGCUCCUGCGACGCCGUCUCCUCCGCCUCUCCGAGCUCACAACACCCAUACCUCCCCCUCGUGCCAUAACCGGAUCAACCUCGUCAUCAUCAUCCGAUGGAUAAGCAGCAUUUAGAUCACCACUGCCACCACUUCCAUUAAUGGGAGCAUAACUGUUAUCCUCGUCUCUACUUUCAAUAGCACUAUUAUUAUUCUCCCUAUGAAGCCUCAUGAGUCUCGCACUCUCCCUAAAUAAAAAGUACAGGAUGCUCCUGCUAAUACCCCGACCCCCUCCUCGAAAGUCCCCGUUGGCAUCGCCAAUCUCCUCAUCACUCUCACCAUCGCUGUCACCCAUUUCAAUUACAUAAUCCCCAAAUACCACAGAUCUCGGCAUCGUUGACCUAAUUGUACUGAUCACAUCCUGCCUCUCCCUUUCAUGUUCCAGCGUCCUCCACUUCUGCUCAAGUACUGGAUCCACCUCUCUUGGCUUCGCAGAAGGGUGCUCGGACCUCACAUGCCUUUUAAGUUCCUUAUAAGUCCCCAUAUACGAGCAGCCAUCUUGCAUGCAAGUCCUCUUUUUAGUAUUAAGAUAUUCUCGAGCUCGCUCCACCACCGUCCAGCCUUUCACCUGGCCACGGCAUAAAGGGCAUGAAAGCUCCAUUACUUCGGACUUCUCACUCGGGGGCCAGGAAAGACUACUAUUGGCGUGUGAGUCCUCGUUGAGGGAUGUCUCUUUAGUGUAGGCCUUCUCAAACUGGUCGAGACAGUUGGAGUGGCGGUAACUGGUCCCACACAUAUACGGGCGGCAGCCCUUGUUGUGGGAUGAACAAAGUAGGAGGACAGCAUUGUGUGGGUACUCCAUACACACCGAGCAGGUGGCAUCUUCCCAGUCCUUUUUCUCCAAAGAGGCUAAUGGUGUUUUCUUUCGGCUGGCUUGUUUCUCGGCUUUCCUGCUAUAGGAAGGAAUGGGAUAGGGAGUCGGCCUGAGCUGGCGAGUUGACAGCCUCCGGCCCCGUGCACUUCUCGCCAUUUUCUCGGAGUAUCUGCCAAUAAUAAUUGCAAGGCCUAAGCGAUUUAAUUUUGCAGACAGCCAAAGCAAGGUAUAUUACAAAUGAUCAGAAAAGACACAUCCUACAGCUAGAAGAGCCAAUGUGAUUAAAAUUAUACGAGGGAGCCAAUGAGAAGCAUCCAUACUCUCUUGGGAGACGGUGGAAUUCAAAUAGAGUAGAAGUCAUUCAAGCUGAUAGAAACAAAACCUAAGAAUAUCUGCAUAACAUAUAACAUAUGGGCUGACCCAAAAAUUGAAAGGCAUGUAAAUACUGUCGAAAUUGGCCUCUACAGUAAUAUAACCUGGGCAUCUCUCAUUUAAACACCAAAUAUUCACCACAUAGAAAGUAGAAUUUAAGUAAAGAUAGGAGGUAGUACAAUGGAAAAAGGGUAUCCUGUUUUAACCUAUAGUUUACUCACAGAAAUUAUUUAAUCAUGUUACGGUGCAUAAUCUCUAGGCAUCUCUUAGCAUUUGUCACUAAAAGUCGCAUAAACUUAUGUUAUGAAAUAGGCUAACCACAAUUUAACAUAUACUAAUGCCAUAAAAUGGAAUAAGGUGCAAAAAUGAAACUCAUAAAAUCUAUGUUCAAGUUGUGGAUGGCAAUAAGAAACCCUGAAAAGAGGAUUAACCAUGGCUUUUGGUGUUUCUCUGUAGCAUUUCUACAACAUCGAACUAAUCAACUGGCCAAAAAUAACUGAAAAUAAAAGUUGAGUAAUACAACAGUGAAAAACAAGGGACAAUUUGAAUAUGAUGAUAGCUUUGAAAGUUUAGAACAAGAAUUCAUGGUUGGCAAGGUAGCCAGGUGGAUGCAGAGGUAACAGGACCCCCGAAUGCAAGGCAAUGAUUAGUGCAGUAAUAAGAAGCUUCUGAGAAGUAUAGAAUUCAGUGCUAGAAAACCAUCGACGAACAUGCAGAGUAAGUUUACUAACAAACAGAAACAUAACAUGCAGGUCAUCAAACCAUAAGUAUAAAGCUCUAUAGAGCACUUCUAAUAAAUGAUAUGCUAAAUUUGCUCCUCUCUCGUCCUAUACCCCUCACUAAUCUUCAAAUUUCCUACAAUUCCUUUACACUUUGCUCUUCAUCUCUCACUACUCAUCCAUUGAUCAACCAGCUCUGAGAUCUCUAGCAAUAUCCAGCAUGCAAGGAUGCAAAGCCCAGAGGAACACGAGGCAGAGAAAUAGGAAAAAAACCAACUUUACCUCCAGAGAUAGUAGAAGAGACGUAUCAAAUACACUUUUCACUAAGAAAAGCACAAAUGAACACCAGAUAGAUGCAGAACAAGAUGGUGUUCUCCCAGAAUAAAACAACCCACAGAUUGAACUAAAAUAAAAUCAAAAUCAAAUAAAAAGCAUCAUAAUCAAAGAACAACGAAAGAAAAGGGGAACCCUACAAUCACCGGCGAUCUCAGCAUCUCAACAUCGACUAGUGAGAUCUCUCACGUCUCCAAAAAGGGCACGGCGCAAAAAGAAAAAGUAGGGUUUUGAAAAAGAGAAAAAAAAAAAAAAAAAAAAACAAAAAGGCUUGGUUUCGACGCCACCGGUGGUCCCAGCUUCCCCAAUACAAGCACGAAGCAUCCGCGAUUCCCACAAAAGAGAUAAUCGUAGGGUUCGGAGCGAGAGGAGUACCUCGAAAUGGGGAGCGAAGCGAGGAGAGAGAGAGAGAGAGUGAGGGGGAGGGCCGCGCCUAGGGUUUCGCGGGAGAGGAGGGAGACGAUCGAUCGAUCGAUCGAUCGAUGGAGCUAGAGCGCUCGCUCCUCCGUAGGAGUCGCGAGAUACGGAGGGAGGAGGAGAAUGGGGGAGGAGAGAGAGAGAGAGAGAGAGAGAGAGGGGGAGUGGCGAUGAAUAGAGAAAUGGAUUUGGAUUCUCGAAACAGCGGCGAGAGAGAGAGAGAGAGAGAGAGAGAGGGGUCGUGGCUACGCUUGGGUUCGCAGUAAUCGGCGAGUGGAAUCUCGCGCCCGAGAGAGAGAGAGAGAGAGAGAGAGAGAGAGAGAGAGUUCGAGAAAUGGGUUGGUGCUUUUGGGAGAAUUUCUUUUUGCCCCCCCCUUUUUUUUUUUUCUGAGGAAAUAGAAAUUAAACUACUUUUUCAUUUUAUAAUGGAUAAAAUGAUACAAUAGUUUAUAGGAUUAAGGCUUUAUUUGGGAUUACGGUAAAAUUAUAUUACGUACGGUAAAAAAGUAUAUUAGAAAAAUACCUUAUUUAUUUUCUUACGUAAUAUCGCAUUCUGCAUAUCACGGUGAGUCGGUUAUGAUAUAUUUUAUACGAUUUCACGGGAGAACGCAGAAGCAUAUCUCUAUAUACUUUUACAGCAACUCUAUUUUAUCUAAUAGCGUCAGAUCGAUCUCAAUGCUAAACUAAAUCUUAAAAAAAGAGGCAAUUAUUUAUAUACCUCUAAAAAGUUUUUCACUUUCUGAUUUACCGUUUUUAGAAAGCUAAUAUUAUAAAUAUCUUUUUUACGUUUCAAGUUAUUUGAAAUAUACUACUAGAGUUAAAUUCUGUUAGUGAACGAUUAGCAAUAGCCGUUGUUUCUGUAAAAUUACUAUUUUGCCCUUUCUAAUAUACCGUUCUACCAUCACCAAUUUUUCUUAUUUGCUCUUAAGUUAGGAGUAAAAGAAGUAUUUUGAUUUUUUGUCUUUUCAAAUAUACCUCUCUAUAAUUACCAAUUUUUUUUAUUUGCUUCUAAGUUAAGAGUAAAAAAGGUAUUUUGAUUUUUUUUUUUUAACUCUGGCAGACAUUUUACUCACGUUUAAUCCGAAAUAACUUAAUAGAUAGUAACUAUAGGAGUAUUUUUAAAUAACGGAGAAACAUGUGAAAGAUAUAUUGGAAACAAAAAAUAAGUAGGGGCAAAUUAAAUAUUUUCAAAAUUUUGAAGGGUAUAUAAGUAAUUAUGCCUAUUAAAAAAUAUCUUAAGAAAGAUAUAUGAAAAUACUUCCGAUAAAUUAUAUUCACAAAACUUUAAACAAAUUUUUAAUUAAAAAAAUUGAUAAGAUUAGUAAAGNGUAGGGGCAAAUUAAAUAUUUUCAAAAUUUUGAAGGGUAUAUAAGUAAUUAUGCCUAUUAAAAAAUAUCUUAAGAAAGAUAUAUGAAAAUACUUCUAUAGUUAUAUUCUCAUAAGAUUUACAUCAAGUUUAGAAAUGCACAUAAAGGAUUGCUAAAAAAAUAUUUGGUUCCGCGGAGAGUAGAGUGAGAGAACAAGAUAGUGUGUUUACUUAAAAAAAAACUGAAAAGAAAAGAAAAGAAAAAAAAAAAACAGUUUGGAGGAAAUUUAUUUAUUUUUAUAUCUCUCCAAAUAAUAUAAUUGUAAUUGUAACUAAUUUGCUCAUGGUUUCAAUUGUAAUACUUGAAUUUAAAUGUAUCAAACAAAAUCCUUAUUUGGAUUUAUAUUCGAUUACUACUACAGUUUAGCCAUAAUUACAUACAAAUCAAACAACUCUAUCAGCCGUUUGGCUGAAUGUAAUCGUAAAUAUAAGGUACCUGUAAGUAUUUUAUUUUUAACUACAUGUAUUUUAUUUGGGUAAACAUAUUACAAGUUUUAUUUUUUAUUGGCUUAAUUAACCUGUAUAUAUAUGUAUAGAACUAGGUUGGAAUACUAUUAAUAGCACCAAAUUAUUGAUGCUAUUAGGUUUUCGACCUUUGGAUUAAGGAUUGUGCGGUUAGAAUGAUAGUAGUCUCCUAGGGUUGAGUGGGUGAUUGGUUGAAUAGUAUAAUCUAACGGAUGGAAAUGAUCAAAAGAAUAGAUCUAAUGACAGAAAACUUGGUAGUACCAAGUGUUUGGUAUUAUUAAUAGCAUUAUAGCUGGACUCUCUCUCUCUCUCUCUCUAUAUAUAUAUAUAGUUCGGCUAUGGUGCUUGUGAAAGCACGAAGUAUUUGGUGCUUAUAAAUUUUUUUACCGUUAGAUCUACGUUUUUUAUUAUUUUCAACUGUUAGAUUAUACUAUUCAACCAACCACCCACUCAAACCUAGGGGGCUCACAUCAUCUUAACCGCAUAUCUCUUAAUCUAAUGGCCAAAAAUCUAUAAGCACAAAUAACUUAGUACUUUUAAAAACUUAGGAGAUAUAUAUAUAUAUAUAUAUAUAUAUAAUUGAGCACGGCUAGAAUACUUGUAAAAGUAUCAUGGGGGUGAUACUUGUGUGUUUUUAGCCCUUGGAUGGAGAGAUGUGAGGUUGAGAUGAUGGUGGUAGGUGGUGGUAAGUGGUGGUAGGUGGAAUAGUGUUUGAUCCAAGGGCUAUUUGUAUUCAAAAAAUAGAUCCAAUGGCUAAAAACGUGAUAGCAAUAUGGGGAUGAUACUUGUAAAAGUAUCCUAGAUCAACUCUCUCUCUCUCUCUCUCUCUCUAUAUAUAUAUAUAUAGGGUCCGGCUACUAUCCUAUUAAUAGGAUUGGGACCCUUGUCCUAUCAAGUCGAUUUGAAUGAUCGGAAUUUCAAAUUGAUAAUUGGCACCGUUGAAGUUGAUCUACACAAUUAGAAAUAUUUAGAAACCAAAUUUUGUAUUAUUUAAAAAUCAUUAUCAAGUCCAUCUUAAGAGUUGAAAAAUGAACGGUCAUAAAUGAAUAACCUUCUUAAAAUAAGGUUAGACUUUCUCAGUUCGUAAUCAGAGUUAUCAAACAUUAUCUAAAUAGUAUAAAGAAUUUUCUAUCAAAAAUUCAAGCAAUUUGGAUUGCUCUACACCGUUAAACAAGCAAGCGGCUUCAUAUGACCGUAAAAAAUUGUCGAUUUACGACAUCUUUGAUUACCAUAUAAACCUAUACAAAAUUUUGAAUUUAAAUUUUUAAUAUUUCAAAAUACUCAGACAAACUUCAACGCUGCCGAUCAUCGAUUCGGAAUCAUGAUCAUCAAGAACAAAUUAGAUUAUGGACAAGUGCUUUCCUAUUCUAUUAAUGGAUCAGUAGCAAUUAGCUAUAUAUAUAUAAUAAUAAUAAUAAUAAUAAUAAUAUAAUAAUAAUAUGGCAUUUACAUUAUUUAAUCACAAAAUUAUGAUAGGCUACAUGUAUCGGAAGCACGGAGCCUUCCGUCGCUUCAGCCGUUUCGAGUUUGCGCAAACAUUUGACAGAUUGUCGAAUCGGCGCGCCAGUUAAUACUUGAUCUCAGUUUUGGAGUACUAGAAAACAUUAUUAUAGAAUGGUUUUUAGUUAAAUUAUUUUCGAUACCAUUUGCUACCUGUGAGACGAAUGAGCCAAAAUCAACGGCUGAAAAUAAAAUCUUUACAAAAUCCGAUUAAUAAUAUGACAUUAAAAUUUAUAAUCAAAGAUAUUGAUGUUGUUUUAUAUAGUAUAAAGAAUUUUCUAUCAAAAUUGUCCAUGAUUUGGAUAUUUCUACACGUGUUAAACUUCAACGGUCUCAUACGGCCAUUGAGAAUUUGUUGAUUUUGAGCCCAUUCGAUCAUCUAGGCACAAAUAGUAUCUGAAAAAUAAUAAAAUUUAUUUUUAGGUACUCAAAUACGUCUAGAUUCAAGUUAUAACGGAGUCGAUCGGACGAUUCGGAAAGUCGCAACAUCAAAACGAGCUGGAAAGCAAUUCAUUUGCCUAGUGAUCUGAAUAGGCUCAAAAUCAACUAAUUUCAAUGACCGUAGUGAGUCGUUUGCAAGUUUAACGUUGUUUUGUGGUAGAAAUAAUCAAAAUCACUCCGUAAAUUUUGAUAGAAAAAUUCUUUAUACUCUAUAAAACAAGAGCGAAUAUCUUUGAUUAUAAAUGUUUAAUGUAUAUUAUUUACAUUUAUGUAAGAUUUUUAUUUCAGCCAGUUGAUUUAUGAGCCCCUUAGUUCACUAGGCCACAAAUGAUAUCCAUAAAAUCAUAAAUUUAAAAUAGUUUUCUAGGUACGUUCAAUAUCUAGAUCAAGUUUAACGGAAACCGAUCGACGGAUUCGAAAAUCAGAACAUCGAAAAUGAGCUGGGAAGCACGAAGGUCCGUGCUUCCGAUAGGAUUGUAGCCAUCACAUCGUAUAUAUAUAUAUAUAUAUAUUAUAUAUAUAUAUAUAGUAGAGCUCCUGUGCUUUUAAAAGCACGGAGCUCUUGUGCUUGGCAUUUUUUCACCGUUGGAUCGGCUUCGCCUCGAGAUCCGCGCCUGCACUUAAGGGGUGAACUAGAUGGACAGCCAAAUAACGCCGUUCCUCUCUCUCCUCUCUCUACACGUGAAGCCCCCUCUCUUUUUACCCUCUGGCAACCCACCCUCUCUCUCUCUCUCCUUUCUCUCUCUCUCUCUCUCUCUGGUUCCCCCACCAGAUCCAGAUCUUUUUCUUUUUUUUUUUUACUUUUUCUCCCUCCAUCUCUCUUUCUCUUUCCCUUUCAUCCCGGACGCCCCCUCCGCGCCGCCUUCCGGGCCGCGGCGCUACAGGAUCGCUCCCGGACGCGCCCCUUCGCGUCGACGCCUUCUGGCCCGCGUGCUAUAGGAUCGCUCCCGGACGCGCCGCGCUCCCUCGGCCCCGUGAGCUACUCGGAUCGAUCCCGGGCAACGAUCUGAGGAUUUAGUUCUCCAACUGCGGCGGUUCCCGCACCUCCGACCCCUGACGGCGCCGUUCUCGUGAAGAUCUCGAAGGUAAGCGUCUCGGUUAUUAUGGGAACUUCUGAUUUUGUGUUUAUGCAUAUGUCAUUGUCAAACCAAAAUUUGAUUCUUUAUUAAUUGGACCUGAGCACUUGAUUUUGUAAAAUUUCUCCCUUUUAAGCUUAUGAGAAAUUGGUAUUUGCAUUUGGAUUAGUAUGCUUUGAAGUAGAGUGUUUGGUUUCUGACAAAGCUCAUAAUUGAUCUGGGGUAUUCAUUGGUAUUUGCAUUUGGAUUAGUAUGCUUUGAAUUAGAGUGUUUGGUUUCUGACAAAGCCCAUAAUUGAUCUGGGGUAUUCUCAAAAAAUCUCAUCAAAAUAGGAUCUUGGGGAUCCAUCUAAGAUAUGUGCAUUGUUGUUGUUUAAUCUUUAUGCUUUAUUUAAGGAUCCAUCUAGGAUCUUGAGGAUCUUGUCACAAUUUAUCUUUAAGAGGCAAUUCUUUUAUUUGUUAAUUUUAUCUGCUGCUUUUAUGUAAUAUGCUCACUGAUUUAUUUAUUUCAUAGCUUUCUGGAGUAGUUCCACCUCCUUUAUGCAGAAAUGCCCAAAUGUACUUGAAUGCUAUGGGUGGCGAAGUCACUACCAGGUUGAAUGUAAAUGCAGCAAACCAAGUACCUAGAAGAAUGUAAUGUCCUCGUAUUUGCAGAGUUAAUGAAGUCUGUACAUUUACUAAUAUGGCUGAACAUUCUUGUGCUUAUUGUUUUGGAUAUGUAUAACAAUUCUAGAUCACCGUUUUCUUUGCUUUCAUUUUGUUAUUUUGAGGUUCAUUUUUUGUUCUGAAUCAUUGAAGCUCAUCUCCUCGACUUUUGCUUGUAGAUAGUCCUCGUCUGUGGACUAAGAAACAGAAACUACUCAUCUGUGGGAGCACUUUCACUUUUUGUGUUCUUCAUGCAAAAUCUUUCUUUUCCUCCUGUAUUCUUUGCUAGCUCCUUUGUUUCGUUAUAUCAUCUCUUUUUGCUGUUUCAUGCUUCCUUGUUCAGUGUUUUUGUUCGAUAAAAAUAGAUGAUAUAGUCAGGUAGUUUUCAGCCCCAGUUAUUUUAGGUAAUUGUUAGACUACUAUGGCAUCUUAUGUUAGUGCCAGUUUGGACAUUGUGGAAGCAUAAAUGAAUCAAUGUGUGAAAGUUUGAAAUUGGAAAUGAACUGGACAACCUUUUGCAAGCUAUCGAUGGUUGGGUUAGAUCUGAUAGACUUAAGCUGGUUCUUCCUCCCCCAAUUGGAUAAAUUUGAUCCAAUACCUACUUGCGGGGUCAAAUUCACCUCUGAUAGACAUUUCUUGAAGAGAUGCUUCAUUUGUUACUCCCUUAGAAGUGCGACCUUAAAAUCUUCUUUAACUGAAAUUAUCAUCUAUAUAGUAAAUCAGCCCCCAAAAAAGAUGCAGCCCAUUUCCUUGGUUGAGUUUGAUUGUAAUAUAAUUGUAAUUAACAUUAAGCUGAAAUUAGAAAAUUCUAAAUCAUGAAGGCUGAUUGGCAUGCAGGCCAACUGUUGUAGACUAGCUAACUGAUCGGUCAUCUUAUUGCGGACAAGUUGAUCAGCCAAGUAUUGGGAGAUGCAGUUUAAUGUAAGCAUACAUAAUUUUGAAGUACACAUUAUAAACACAGAUAUGUUUUUCUCCUACUACACAUUAUAAACACAAGUGUAGAUAUGUUUUUCUCAUAUCUGUGUUUAUGCUUACACAGAUAUGUUUUGAUCCAUAUCGAGGCUACUACACAUUAUAAACACAUGAUAAACAUGCGGAAGGCGUCGGCGCGUCCGGGAUUGAGUAGCGCUGCGGCUCGGAAGGCGUCGGCGCGGACCACCACCGUAGAGAAGGGAAAAGAGGAAGAGAGAUCGCACGGCCUAGAAGGCCUGGAAGGCGUCGGCUCGUUCGGGAUCGAGUAGCGCUGCGGCCUGGAAGGCGUCGGCGCGGACCACCACCGUAGAGAAGGGAAAAGAGGAAGAGAGAUGGAGGGAGAAAAUGAAAAAAAAAGAAAGAAAGAAUGGUUUGGGAACCAGAGAGAGAGAGAGAGAGAGAGAGAGGGGGGGUUGUCAGAGAGAGAAAAGAGAGAGAGAGAGAGAGAGAGAGAGAGAGAGAGGGUGGGUUGCCAGGAGGAAUUCUAUACUGUCACACUUGCACCACGUCAUCAAUAACAAGCCAAUCACAUUCAUUCUUUUCAAACAAAAAUAUGAUAAAAAUACUUUUUUACAAUCAUGAUGGGACAUAUAUUCUUAAAAGGAUUAAUUUGAUUGGUUUGUUACGCCACGUCACUAAUAUAUCCGUUGCAUUCUAGAAUUUUUCGGUUGCCAGAGGGUAAAAAGAGAGGGGGCUUCACGUGUAGAGAGAGAAGAGAGAGGAAAGGCGUUAUUUGGCUGUCCGUCUAGUUCACCCCUUAAGUGCGCACGGAUCUCGAGGCAAAGCCGAUCCAACGGUGAAAAAAAUGCCAAGCAUAAGAGCUCAUGUGCUUUUAAAAGCACAGGAGCUCUACUAUAUAUGAAUUAAACUCCUAUGCUUUUAAAAGUACCAAAUUAUUGGUGUUUGUAGAUUUUUAGCCAUUAUAUUAAGAGAUAUGCGGUUAGGAUGAUGUGGGUCCCCUAGGGUUGAGUGGAUUGUUGGUUGAAUAGUAUAAUCUAAUGGUUGAAAAUGAUCCGAGAAGUAGAUCUAACGGUAAAAAACUUACAAGCACCAAAUGCUUGGUACUUUUACAAACACCAUAGCUGGUAUAUAUAUAUAUAAAAGCUAUCUUGGUACAUAACAGAAGUACCUCAUAACAGAAGUACCUCUUGCGCAGAUUUUGAUGCUUGAGUUUCCUUUUUAUCUCUUCAUCUGUUCUUUUUGUUAGUCCUAUCAUGAAUCUUUCCUAGUAUUACACUACAAAAUUUUCGUUAAAUUUUAUUUUUUUUAUUAUAGAAGUAAAGUUUGUAAAUUUGAUACUAAAAUUAUAUAUAUAUAUAUAUAUAUAUAUAUAUAAUAAAAUUAUAAAAAAAUAAUUUUUUAUUAUCUUAUACUCGCUCAACAAGCAGUUAAACGAGUGACUCUCGACCCGAUAAUAUUUAUGGUUCACGAUUCGACCGAUUUAAAAGAAAAAAAAUGAGAGUGUGAAGUGCUUCUUUCUUAUUGUUAUAUGUGAUUUGCACUCAUUAGCGUGCUGUUUUGGUUGUGCUUCAUUCUCAAGCUACUUAUUUGUAACGUAAUCAACCUAUCUUGAAUUGAUUGUUGGAGAGGAGUUCGGGCAAUACAAAAUAUUUUAUUGAACUGAUUAUUGGGUACUGAUUUAAUUUUAAUAAAGUUGAUAUAUCUAAUCAUUUAAUGAUAGAGUAACAUUUUUACUGUCAUUUUUACUUAGAACAUAACACGUAAUCAUUGAGAGAAAUCCCAAACUACAAGCCCGGUAAUGUUUAACCCAAAAAAUAAUACGGUUCAACAUAAUUAUCAUAAAAAAACUAUUUAUUUAAAUAUUUAAAACUAUUCAUGUACAAAUGAUGAAAGAUUUAACUGUUGGUAUUUGAAAUCUUAAAUCCGAAACUUAAUUAUUUUAUAUUUUGAGCUAAGUUCUCUCUCUCAUAUAUAUAAGAAAAAGAACUUUUCAGGAACAAAUUAAAAUUGACCGAUUAUCAGAUAUGAAAACGACUAUUCAAUCCAAACUGCGAUCCCUAUCCUGUACCCAUCAGGUCAAGAUCCUAAUAUCAAACAAUCAAAACUUAAAAGUAACUUAGAUACAUUAUUAUCUAGUUAUAUUCAGAUAAGUUGGAACUAGUUGGAUUAAGGAGGGGGCCAACUUUAAACUUAGGAUUUAUUUAGAUAUCAGAAUAAGUCAUUUAAAAAUAACUUAUUGGGUAUAAAUUUUUUUUAUUAUGAUUGUAAGUAGAAAAGUUUGAUUUUUUUUACCUUUUGAAAAGUUUUGUUAUUCAUAAUUUAGUAAGAUAGCAUAUUUCACAUACGGGAUGAUUUAUUUUAUUUUGAAAAAAUAAUUUGAAGAUCGAAUAUGAUAUUCCAUUUUAAAUGCUAAUUACACUUCUCAUCAACUAAAACAUACAUCAAAUAAGAUAUUCAUGCAUGCAAUCAGAACCUUAGGGCCUGUUUGGUGGUACGUUGUUAUAACUAUACUAUAAUUACAUGUUGUUAUUACUGUACUAUACUUAUAAUUGUUGGCUUAAAUGGAUCAGCAUCCUGUCCUGUGGCGGGACGCCAUGUGGGCCGAGUCAUGUUCGAAAUGGCGUGAGGCUGGGUUAGGCCGAGUCAUGUUCGAAGUGGCGUGAGGCUGGGUUAGGCCGAGUCACAAUUGAGAGCCGUGGGCGCUGUUUCUGUACGCUUUAAGUGAAUUGGUUGCGUAUUUCUAACAGCGCGAGCUUUUGGGAUUAAUGGUUAGCGCCAACAAUCCGACAAUAACUACAUGUAGAUUUAAAUUCGAUGUUUGAUUUGAUUUUUUGGACUAAGUGAAUUGGAGCCAACAGAAGUUUUGUGCUGAAGAUUGCUUUCAUUUGGUUAGAGUUGUAGGAAACUUAGCUCAGGGCCUGCCCAGCAAAAUCAAAAUGGGUUUAUCCUAAUUAUGUUCUCUUAAUAGGUGUAAUAUCCGUGAAAAUUUCAUAUAAGAUAGGAAAGAAAAAUCUAUAAUUCAAAGGUAUCAGAAAUAUUAAUAAUAAUAACUAAAUUUAAAUAUUUUAGACUAGAACUGAAUAUCAGCUAAAAUGUGAGAGCUAAGUGUUAUACAUAAUAAAAUAUUUUUUUUUGUUUGAGAGAUAGGUAGCACGCUACCCGCUUCGUUUAUUUCAUUUAAAAAUAAACUUAGCUAGAAAUGUGAAUCAACUAGGAUUCGAAUUUGGGUCUCGGGUACCAACCAUUAAGCCCUUUGCCACUUGCUCUAGGGACGGUCGGUAACAUAAUAAAAUAUUAAACGACGGAUUUGAUGGAUACUAUCUCACACCGUUUGUUAAUUCGGAUUUAUAUGUGUUAGUGAAUUAGGUUGUUGCAAUAGAUUCAUAAAUAAAGAUAGGAAAGCUAGAGAGUGAAUAAAAAUUUCGAAGGGAUGAUCUCCACUAUAAGAUUACUUUAUUUACCGUUUAUCUUGUGAAUAGUUGAAUAGUAUGAAUUUGAAAGACGCAUGAAUAGUAUGAAUCUGAAAGACGCAUGAAUAGUUAAUGAAGCGAUCUUUUAUUGGAGGCUAUUCUUUUUUUUUUUAAAUUUUAAUUUCUAUGGAGAGAUACUUUCAUUAUGUAUCAAGAUAAUAGGUUAUAUAUAAAGUAUCUCAUGUGCUUUUGAAAGUACGGACAUAUUCGUGCUUUCAAAUUAUUUUCAAUAAUAAAAUAUCCGAUUCGAUGAUCAAGUUUGUUAGACAUAAUUUAUGCUAUUAAAACUAUCUAGAAACUAAAUCUUAUUAGUUUUUGACAUUAUUUAAACCCGGUGAACAAAAGAUUUCAAAAAUGACUGUUUUAAAAAUCGAUGUAACACGUUUGUAAGUUCAAUGAUAAAAAAUAAUUCAAAUUAUGUGAAAUUUUAAUAAAAAUUUUUAUUUAUUAUCAAGAGCAAGGUUCAUAUUUUCGAUUUAAAAUUUAAGCCUUUUAUUAUUAUUUUUAACAAAGUUUUUAUUUUCAGCCGUUCAUUUUGAGACUAUACGUUUAUUAGGCAAAUAGGAUAAAAAAUUAUAAAAUUUGAUUUCUAGAUAGCGUUAAUCAUGCUUAACGAAAACGAUCAUCAAAUUGAAUAUCAUCGAAAACUAUAUGACAGUACGAAGGUCUCUAUACUUUUGAAAGUAUAGUAUCCUAGCUUUUAUAUUAUAUAUAGGAUUAAUUAAGAUGAUAAAUCUUUCUAAUCUCAUUAAUUAAACAAAUCAAUCCACCUCAGUUGAUUCGGUUUAGUUUCAUAUGUAAUUCAAUUCGACUAAAAAAAAAUCCGAAUUAAUCAGAUAAUUGAUUCUUUAAUUAAUGAGAUUAGAAAGAUUUAUCAUCUUAAUUAAUCCUAUAUAUAAUAUAAAANAAAUCAAUCCACCUCAGUUGAUUCGGUUUAGUUUCAUAUGUAAUUCAAUUCGACUAAAAAAAAAUCCGAAUUAAUCAGAUAAUUGAUUCUUUAAUAAUAUAAUAUAUAUUAAUUUUAAAUUAUAAUUAAAUAAUUUGGGUUAUAUAUUUUCAGAUGCAAUCAAUUAAAUUUUAAUUAUAAAAAAUAUUUAUUCGAAUUGAAAUAAACAAAAGAGAACCAACCAAUUUUCAUAUCCUAGGGGCAUGUUUAUUUUCAUCAAAAGUGAAAGAGAGCAAAAUUGUUUUUAAUUAUAGUGUCCAUUUCUUUUAUUUGGUUGGCCGUAAAUUAAAAUUGUUUAUAACUCCACUUUUGCAAAACGUCGUAAUUGACUUCACCUUGAAUAAUGUUAAAGUCAAAUAUGAAAGCAAAAAUAAAAAAUAAAAUGUUAAUUGCUAUAACUAUUUUUCACUCUCUUAUGCGUUAGUGUGAAAAUUUUUCUUAAAAUAAUAAAGAAAAACAAAAUAUUUACCGUUCCAAAACUGUUGACGCAUUAUCAACCAAACAACAACAUUUGACUGUAUUAGCAUGGACAAUAAAAUGGCGAAUCAUUAAAACUGUCUGGUUCAUUAUUAUUAGAAUGAAAAUCGAAAUAAAUAUCUAAGAUCUUGAGAGAGUGUUUUGAUUAAGGAAGAGAGCGAUGAAGGGAGAGAGAAGAUGGAGGUGUUUGUGAGAAAGAGUUUUGAAUGGUUUAUUCUGAAAUGAGCCAACUAAAAUUUAAUGCUUGAUUGGGUCAUAAGUAGAUUAAACGACGGAAUCUAAUUUCUGUAAAAUAAACAACACCCUUCAAAAUUAAUGAAUUUUAUUCCAAUUUUAUAGUGUAAAUAGGCGACAAACAAACAAACAGAUCGAAUGUUGGACACUUUUAACCAAAUGGGCCGGAUACGAGCCCAUGGGCCGAACGUAUCGGUCCAAGAUCCCAUUCUCAUAUCACCUUACUAAACCCCGGAGAUUUCGGCAAAACGUAACCGUCCAUCAACAGUUACACGCACUCUCCAAAUUCUUCUUCAACGGUCAAGAUCACUCCUCAGAUGCGUUAGUUUUGUUCCCGUUACGGAUACGGGACAUGUACCCGCUACGCGUAAAAACACACUAAACUCGUAUAAACUCUACAGUAUACGAGGCGAUUAAGUUUCCUCCCCCUCACCCUCCCCCUCAUCCCCUUCCCCCGCGUCAUAUAAUAGGGUUUUCCAAAGCCAUAAAGAAAAAUCAACCAAAACCAAAAAAGACAAAUUAUUAUAAGAGAAACAGAUACAUACUCUCUCUCUCUCUCUCUCUCUCUCUCUCUCCACACACACACACAAACACACACGCACACCAAAUUCUCCUUCUUGCGUUUAAGGUAUCAAAGAGAUAGAGCGAACUUAUUCGCUGUAAUUCCAAUUUCCCUUGGAGUUAUUCCGAGUAUUAGAAUCCGACGACGACGACGACGACGACGACGACGACGAAGCCAUUCGCCGGCGCGUCCCACCCGCCGCUGGAAUUGGGAUAAAGAGUGGGAAUAGCGGAUAAGAAGGCGAAUAAGGGCGCGUCCUUAUUCGGCGUCGUAAGCAAUCCCAAACCCUCGAUCUUGGGUGUCGAACUAACUUGCUAGGGUUUUCUAGGGUUUCCGGUACUUGGUUCUCUCCGGGGGGAGGAGAUCGAUUCCGCGUCCCUGUUUUGGUUGCUAGGGUUUCCGAUGGUGCGCCCUCGAGGGCAUUGAUGCGGGGCGACGAUGGAUGCGUAGAGAGUUUUGUUGUUUAAUCCAUUGAUAGGCUCGGGUGAGUGCACGGUACGUUGAUUUUUUUUUUUUUUUUUUUGGAUANAAGAAAAAAUGGUAAUUGAUUUUUCUUUUUUUUUUUAUUUUCUGUUUGUAAUCGGGCCAAAUGGACUGGGUGUGGUGGGUUGAGUAGAGUAAUCUUUUAUUUUUGGUUGGAUUGGGCUUUAUAUUUAGGCAUUAGCAGAUAUUUUUUUAAGUUUUAGCAUAAAUGUGAUACUUAUCCAAAAGUGUCCCAAACAUGUGUUCCUAUAACCUAAUUCUGUUGUAGUGUCAAUUAAAUUUUAAUUAUAAAAAAUAUUUAUUCGAAUUGAAAUAAACAAAAGAGAACCAACCAAUGUUCAUAUCCUAGGGGCAUGUUUAUUUUCAUCAAAAGUGAAAGAGAGCAAAAUUGUUUUUAAUUGUAGUGUCCAUUUCUUUUAUUUGGUUCGCCAUAAAUUAAAAUUGUUUAUAACUCCACUUUUGCAAAACGUCGUAAUUGACUUCACCUUGAAUAAUGUUAAAGUCAAAUAUGAAAGCAAAAAUAAAAAAAUAAAAUGUUAAUUGCUAUAACUAUUUGAAAUUUUUUCUUAAAAUAAGAAAGAAAAACGAAAUAUUUAUCGUUCCAAAACUGUUGACGCAUUAUCAACCAUACAACAACAUUUGACUGUAUUAGCAUGGAAAAUGAAAUGACGAAUCAUUAAAACUGUCUGAUUCAUUAUUGGAAUGAAAAUCGGAAUAAAUAUCUAAGAUCUUGAGAGAGUGUUUUGGUUAAUAAAGAGAGCGAUGAAGGGAGAGAGAAGAGGGAGGUGUUUGUGAGAAAGAGUUUUGAAUGGUUUAUUCUGAAAUGAGCCAACUAAAAUUUAAUGCUUGAUUGGAUCAUAAGUAGAUUAAACGACGGAAUCUAAUUUCUGUAAAAUAAACAACACCCUUCAAAAUUAAUGAAUUUUAUUCCAAUUUUAUAGUGUAAAUAGGCGACAAACAAACAAAGAGAUUGAAUGUUGGACACUUUUAACCAAAUGGGCCGGAUACGAGCCCAUGGGCCGAACGUAUCGGUCCAAGAUCCCAUUCUCAUCUCACCUUACUAAACCCCGGAGAUUUCGGCAAAACGUAACCGUCCAUCAACAGUUACACGCACUCUCCAAAUUCUUCUUCAACGGUCAAGAUCACUCCUCAGAUGCGUUAGUUUUGUUCCCGUUACGGAUACGGGACAUGUACCCCCUACGCGUAAAAACACACUAAACUCGUAUAAACUCUACAGUAUACGAGGCGAUUAAGUUUCCUCCCCGUCCUCGGCUCCUCCCCUUCCCCCGCGUCAUAUAAUAGGGUUUUCCAAAGCCAUAAAGAAAAAUCAACCAAAACCAAAAAAGACAAAUUAUUACAAGAGAAACAGAUACAUACNNNNNNNNNNNNNNNNNNNNNNNNNGGCGGCGGCGGCGGCUAGGAUAAGGGGGGAAUUGGAUUCGGAGUCGUCUUCUUCCGGCCCCCCGGCGACGGGACGGCUCGGUCCGGGGAUGGCCGUGUGAGAGCGCUUGUUCCGAUUCUUCGUUGGCUUAGUUGAUAGGUUGGUUAUGAGGGGGGGAAUAAUUCGAAAAGGAGGAGCUGAUUCUUGUAGAUAGAUAGAUGUUGCUCUUUCCGUCAUGGAGAAAGGCGAGCCCGCAUUCAAGCCAGAGUGGUUGAAAUCGUCCAACGGAAGCACGAGCAGCAAUGCCUCUUCGAACCACCUCACCGGCACUUCUUCCCAUUCGAGUGCGUAUUCUCCUUGCUCUCGUCACUUUAAUCAGCUUUCAAUUCUCGAUAUUUCGUAUAUUGAUGCGCGUUUUUCAAUGCUGUAGAUGAACACGGUGCAGGGAUUUCCUCUCGAAACAGACUGCCCGCUGCCGUGGGCGACCGCGACAGGGGUUUGUUAUCCUCCGCCAGACGGAGUUCAAGCUUGAAUGGGAAAUCUAGGGCUUACAGUAGUUUUGGUAGGAGCAACCGCGAUAGAGAGCGGGAAAAGGAUCUUGAUUUGCUUGACAGAGAGAGUAGGUCGGUUCUUCUCGACAAUGGUUACAAUGACCGUUUCGAUUCGUUAAUAGCGAGUAGGUCGGAAAAGGAUAGUUUGAGGCGGUCGCGCUCCAUGGUGUCGGGGAGGCCGGUAGACACGUGGACAAAAACAGUAGGAACUAACUCAAAAAAUGAUGUUCCUUCCAGGGGGACUAUGAGUAAUGCCUCCUUUGAAAAAGACUUUCCAUCCCUUGGUGCCGAAGAGAAGAAUGGACGGCUAGAUGUGGGUAGGGUUUCAUCUCCAGGUAUUAGCACCCCACUUCAAAGCAUUCCGUUAAGUGUCACAGCCAUAUCUGGAAUUAAUAGCUGGAAUUCUGUGUUGGCUGAAGUGCCUAAGAUGGUCGGAUCAAACGGACCCCAAUCUGCACCUACUAAUCAAGUUCCUUCGACCCCAAGCACUUCGACGGGCCUAAAUAUGGCUGAAACAGUAGCACAGGCUCCAUCACGAUCUCGUAAUGCACCUCAGGUCGACUAAUACCUGCGAUAUUUUUUUGUUUUGUUUUUUUCAUUGAAAGUCCUUUCCUAUUCUAUCUAAUUAUGUUAUGAUGUUCUAUUUUCCAGUUAUCAGUUGAGACACAGAGGAUUGAAGAACUAACCAUUAGACAAUGCAAGCAGCUAAUACCAGUGACGCCUUCAACAACUAAAAGUUUGGUAGGUUCCUUACCUUUUCCAAGUUAACUUCCUUCUGUUAUUCUAUUGAAUACCCUGUUCAUUUGCAAUCGGUAAUAGCAUGAUGUUUCCCGAUUUGCACCUUAUCAUUACAACGGAAUCUCCACCAAUGGCAUGUCCAUUGUGUGGUUGUCGCAUUCUGUUGGAUUUAAUUUUGGUCUCAUUAUGAUACUAAUGAUUAUUAGCCAGAUUUACUAUUAGCUAUACAACUUGGUGAGUCUUCAAAUAUCUCUUCUCUAACACAUUAGCUAAUAGUUGUCGUUGCAUGACGAACUUGGUGAAUGUCUAUAUGGCCAUAAAUAAAACCUCAUGCAUGUUUGUUUGUAGGCUUGUCUUGGUGCUUAACGUCUCCUUGUUAACAUCUCCCUGUAGAUGGCUCAUUCACUACUUUAUGCAUAUUUUAUUUUAUUUUGUUAUAUAUAUAUAUAUAUAUGUAUAUAUAUAAAUGUAUAUAUAUAUGUAUAUAUAUAUGUGUAUAUAUAUAUGUAUAUAUAUAUAUGUGUAUAUAUAUAUGUAUAUAUAUAUAUAUAUAUAUAUAUAUAUAAAUAUAUAUAUAUAUAUUAUAAUCUAUAUUAUAUAUAGCUUAUGAGUAGUCUCCUAUAUAUCUAUAGUACCGGGUCUCCGGUACUAUAGUCUCGUUUCGAUCUUAAGGGUUCAAUCAACGAUCACAGCGUUAAAACUAUCUAGGGUAUUUAAAGUUUUAGAAUAAAAUUUUAUAUUUUUCGACAUAGUUUACUUUAUGAUCAAACCAUUUCAAAAUUGUCAAUUUUCAUGGCUACUUAUGGCGAGUUUGGAGUUUAACGGUGUAGAAGAAUUUAAAUUCUUUAAAUUUUGAUAGAAACAAUGGUUUUGAACUAUCUAGAUUAAGGUUAACAUUCUUGAUCUUGAAUUUAAAAGUUCUAUACUCAAAUUUUAAAGAUUAUUCAAUUUUCACCGUCCAUUUUGACAUAAUUUAUUUAUUAAGUAAACGAUGUCGAAAAAAACUAAAAUUUUACUCCUAAAAACUUCAUAUACCCUAGAUCAUAUUUAACGGUGUGGAUCGUUAAUUUGAACACCCUAAGAUCGAAAACAAGACUAUAGUACCGGAGCUCCGGUACUAUAGAUAGUAUAGUAGCCUAAUUCUAUAUAU
rnacentral:lncRNA from 1 species